rnacentral:lncRNA from 1 species
AAACUAUUGAUACUUCCUCUGUUACUAUACUACUGUUCUAACCUAAAAUCAGAAAUCUGCUACUGCUAUGCUACGAUUAUGAUUUUCAACCAAAAAGUAGUUCAAAAUUCAAAACGAACCAAAAUUAAACAAUAACUAGACGAAUUCCACAAGAGAUCAAAUAAACUAGAUGAUCAAAACAAAACACAAGCAUCAAAUUGCGAUCAAACAUGAAAUUAAAGCAUAAAAUGACACGAAUAAGCCAGAAUCUAACCUGAAAAUUCGAUUAUCUAGGAGAAGAAUAGAUCGUUUCAACGAACCAGAAGAAAACUGAUGGUGAUGAAGAGAGAUGAUGAUUAGACAAAACGACUGAAUUCCAUAACUGAUCGACGCUUGAUCGGACUCUCUGCUAAGCUUUCCGCAAAACGACAAAAUUCCUUCGACGAAUGUCUCCGGCGACACUAUUCGUCACAAAGAAGAGAGAAAACGAGAGACGGUCGAUCACGUUAGGGUUGGGAACUGUGAUUUUUGAUUUUUUCGGCUAUUUUUAUGGUUGGGGAAGAAGGGUAUUUGGGUAAAAUAGGUAAUGACAAAUGAUAUGAUGACAUUAGUUUGUCCUAAUUUGUUAAUAUUUGUCCUUAAAUGAGUAAGAUAUUGUGUAAAUGAUGUAUUUGCAAGUUGAAAUUUGAUUAGUAACUAAUAUGUAGUUUACUAAUUUAUAUAUUUCUUUUCUAAACAAAAGGUUGGUGCGGUUGCUCUUAAAGUUUCAUUAAUGAAACUGUUGAAAAGAAAUAGAGGACAUGAAACCUGAACCCCUUAUUACAAUAAAUAUAUAGAAGAAAUCUUGUAUCGAGAAUCUCUAUAAAAUACAUGGAUUUUAACAAACACCAAUUAACAAAGAGUGUUACUGUAAUGACGACUUAAUUUGUUUUGUCACAAAGAUGACAUGAUGAAAGUAUCACUAGAUACGUAACACAAUUACAUAUAUUAAUGUCCUACUAUAAACAAUGUUAGGUGAACCAUAUUUUGGUGAUAUACUAAUUUACUAUAUAUUUACUGUUUGAUUACUAUUCAGGGUGUUCCUCUACAGUAAAAAAAAACAGUGUAUUUCCAGGUUUUACCCUCAUUGUUGGGCAGUGAAAUUCCAGUAAUGCCCUCUCCUGUUUUAUAUUUAUCGGCCUAGCUGCUUCUUUCUUUCUCUCAAAAGUUCACUUUUCUCUUCUGGGUUCUCUCUCUCUCUCUNNNNNNNNNNNNNNNNNNNNUCUCUCUCUCUCUCUCUCUCUCUCUCUCUCUCUCUCUCUCUCUCUCUCUCUCUCUCUCUCUCUCUCUCUCUCUCUCUCUCUCUCUCUCAGUUCCAUAUAGAAACAAUGUGGCUUCCUGUUUUGCUAAAAUUCAGGUUUCUUUUUUAAUGAUUUCUUCUGGGUGUGUUUGAUCGAUUGCGAAAAAUUUUCUUUUUCUGAUCGGACUGCUAUUGGAUGUCUUUAGAUUCAAAACUAUAUCAAAAAAUCUGGGUUCGACUGGUUUUUGUUCUCAGAAGGGAGAGUUUAAUGAAGGCGAAGAAAGGUACUGCUUCGUCUUGCUUUGGGUAAUUGGUUUUCAAUUCUUCUCUUGCUUGCAUGGGCGUACACAAGAUAUCCCUUUUGUCUAUACAAUGAAAAUUUGUCAAUCAAGGUGUACUAUUGAAAAAGAGGUUACUAUCAACUGAAUAUUAGUUUACAUGUAGAGUCGUUCACAUCGAUGUUAAACUUAUCAUGGUUUCCUUCAUUUGGUUGUUCCAAUUUGAGUUGUAUCUACAGAUGAUUGAAUCUCUUAUUUUUCUCAGGCCGGGACCUGAGAUUUUUAGACCUGAGUCGAACUCUCAACAUUAGGCCCCUAAAUUGUAGUUUGCAUCUAAGUUUUUUUUAAAAAAAAUUAAAAAUAAAAAUCUAAAUCUAUAAACUCAAAAUCUAACUACAUAUCCAAAUUAUUUGGAUUAUGAUUAAUAUUUUAGUAAUUUUAUUCACAUUAUAAACCCUAUUUUAAGCUCUCCCCUCUUCUUUUUUUCUUUUUCAAAAUUUACAGUUUCUUUUUGUAUAAAUUUUGAGUAGUAAUUAAAUUAAUUGUAUAGACUUUGUUUUCUGAAAACUUAAAAUGUAUAGACUUUUAAUAUUAUUUAUUUUUCUUUGACUAACAAUACAUUAAGUGAUAUUUUAUAUGUAUAUAUAAUUAUAACAAAAGUUAGCUGGGACCCUUACAUCCAUCCUUUCGUUCCAGAUUGCACUAAGAAAUGAAGUUCUGACAUUACCUUUCAUAUUUAAUUGUAUUUAAUAUUGAAGGCCUUGAGUCGACGGCCUCUUUGGACUCACAUCAAGUUCGGGCCUGAUUCUGUGUCUUAUAUAUUGGGUUUGAAUUUGGCAGUCAGCGGGUUCCGUAUUAAAUUUCUUCUGAGCUUUUAUCACCCAACCCUAACGACUUGCUUCGUCAUCAUCAAGGUAAUGAACGGAUUCUGGGUUAUGACUGUCGAUUGUUGAAUUUUAUGUUUUUUGAUGCAUGUCUUUUUUGUGCAGGAAUGGAUUGGUAAAUAAGACCUUCUUGGGUAAGUGUUAUUUUGAUGCAUGACCUUCAUUCAGGUAGCAUGAUUUCUUAUUCUGCUCAAGAAUUGAUCUUUUUUUAAGACACAGUUUGUUCACUAAAUCUCUUUACAUCUAAUUUAUUGUCCUUAACUAUUAUCUUAUUGUUUUCAUGAAUUAUUGAUAUAAAAUCUACAAAUUAAUGAGACCAAAGCUUACAAAUCAUUAUAGAUGUGACCUGCUAUAGCAUUUAUGUUUGUGGAGUGCAAUUUUCUUUCUUUUGUCUAACAUUUUUGUUUACUUUAUUGUGCAGGCCAAAUAAAGAAGACAUAUCAUUCUCAAAAAGAAAAAGAAAAAUAAUAAAGAAGGCAGUUUUGUGUUGGAAUGUUUGUCUGAAUGUUUUAAUUAUUACAUGCUAAAUUACUAAUCAUCAUCUUUCAUACAAAAAAAUUUUUAUAAUUUUUUUGAUCGAGAUACAAAAACUCUUGGAUCUUCAAAUAUCAGUUUAGAGAACUUUUCUGAGCUUGUUUUCAUUUGUGAUUCGGGGAUACACAUUUUCACUGCCUUGGUGUGUGUGUCUGCAUUUGAGAUUUCUAUAAACCUUUUCAUUUCUAUAAACCCUUUAGGCAAACCUACAACACUAAGACGUAUAGAAACAGAAAGCAAUUAAGUUAAAGUCUUAUGGUCCAUAUAAACUCACAUUCAACAAAAACAUAGUCCAAGACACUAUAAAGGAUAACUUGGCUGAAUCUGUUUUAGGUACCACCGAAAGACCUUAUGUGGCAGAAAAACCACCCAAUCAGAGACUUUCAAUGAAGAGAAAUUCUUAGGUGCAACAGCCGCACCACCUGGCACAUGCGCAGCCAACCACUCUUUGACACCUUUNNNNNNNNNNNNNNNNNNNNUUUUUUUCCCCAGCUCUUCUUCUCCCUCCCUGCCUCUUCUCCGACGAAACCGAUCCCCUCCGGUCACAGGCGAAACCGAUCCCCUCCUCUCCGGUCACAGGCGAAACCGAUCUCACCAGUCACAGGCACGGCUCGACAGCGGCAUCCCCUCCGGUCAUUGGCCAAAAUUAUCCCGCGCGGCUCGACGGCGGCAGGUUUCUACAAGGCUAUGGUGGAGGCGGCGGCGGGUCCAGGUUUGAAGCGGCAACUGGGCAGAGGGAAAGAACCUGCUAUGCUUUGCCGGAGGGGAUCGGUUUCGCCGGAGAAGAGGCAGGGAGGAAGAAGAAGAGUGGUAAAAAAAAAAACACGCGUCGGCCUGCGACUGGACGGGCGCACCGUCCACGUGGUACGGUCGUCGCACAUAAGAUUUUUUGUUCAAUGAAUGAUGUGAUUAUACCACAUCAGCCUACCAGGUGGUACCUAAAACAAUGUUUCACGUGGCUUUAUUCUUGUUAAUGUUAACUUUAAUCCAAGAUGAUGUUGUUCUAGAAGUAACUUUUCAAACACAAUAGGCAGGCUGCUACAUUUUUAUUUUUUUAUUUUUUAUUUUUUACACCAUAGCUAUGAGCCUAUGAUAUUGUAAAAACUAUAAAUUCUAAACCAUAUACUUCAAAAAACAAAAAAACAAACACAAAUUGUAAAGAUGUGAGAAAGCUCCAAGGAGUCAAUAUGUAAAGUGGCAAUGAUCUGUACCGGGCUAAUUUCAAAGUUCACCCUUUUUUCUACCUUUGGGCCAGUGUGGGAGGGUGUGAAGGAGCACGUCAAGUUCACUACCAAAAGAUAAUUUUUAAACCAAGUUUUACUCUCUGUUCCUAACUCAUCACCAACGUGGACCACAUGAGUAAUGAUAAAAGCAAAUCAACAGGUUCAUAAUGCUUAGAUAUUAAAAUCAUAUAUACAGAUCCCAUGUGUAAAGCAAAAAAAUAAAAUAAAAAAAUCAACAGUCGGUCAAGAAAUCACACCUCUGGACUCCACACAGCACAGUGUUGAUGAACCCAUGUUCCAGCAAUCAAAUUUCUCCGAGGCAGAAGAGCCACUAUAUGCUUCAUUGUCAAUGUCAACCAUAUCCUGAGCUAAUAUUUUUGGAGGCACAAACCGCACUGUCUGCCCUCCUCACCUUUGGGCAUAUCCACCUUCACAUUAUUCACUUCUAUUGCAAGCUUUUCAUCAUGCUUGGAAUGUGAAUCCUUCCCAUCACAACACCCUUCAACUUCCAUUUCAUUUAUUGGGACUCCAACAGCUUCUAUAUUGCCUCACGUUGAUCUUCUCCUUCAACAACACACAGUGCCUGCUCUUGUUCCGUCUGUGUAUCAUAUUCUUCCUCAAUCACAUCAUCAUUUUCUUCUUCAAUCACAUCAACUGAUUGCUCGAUUUGCUCCACCGGUUGAUCAACUUGUUCCACGGUUUCCCCACCAUCUGCAGUUUCUGCAUCUUCCACUUUCUCAUCGCCAAUGCACUCCUCCUCUAACUCUAAAUUCUCUGCCACCUCAAUUACCUUCGUGGCAUCACCCUCCACAGUUUCCCUCUCAUUUCCACCAUCCUCCUCGCAAUCCAACUGCAUUAAACCCUCCCCAUCCACCUCCUCUUCUUCCCCCACAACUUCCUCUUUAACUUCAACCAACUCAUUAUCCUCAUGCUCCGAGCCAUGCGUUGCUCUAACCCUCCCUGGCCUCUUCCAUUUCACAACCUUGGGCCUCCCACCUUCCAACCCCUCCUCACUCUCAUCAUCCAACCCCACCCCCUUCCCUCCACUACUACCCCCAAUCACCUCCUCAAAAAGCUUCCUCUUCCCUUUCCUACACCCCGACUUCCCCCUCCUCGAUCUCAACCUCGCCUUCCUCCUUCUCUUCCUCCUUCACAUUCUUCCCAACCCUCCUCCUCUUCUUCGGCGGCCCCGGCGACAAAUCAAGCACAACCGGGGCCCGCCGCUUGUGGCCAUUUGGUUGAAAGACAGGGAAUGGUAAAGAGACUUGGAACGGGAGGAUCUCAUAGAUGAAAGCUUUCGAAAUGUUAUCCCCUCAAGGUAUGAAAUGUUACUCCAUCAUUUUUUUCUUCAUAUAGGUAGAAUGAUGAUUCCAUUGGAAUAUGACCCUCACGACUUUUCCGUUGAAACCCACAAAGAAAGAAAGCAAAAAGACACAGGUAUAGAUAUAAUUACCCACCACCAUAAAAGUAGAGACAGUUACAGUUUAAAUUCCAUUCUUACGUAUAAAACACACGGAGUCACAAGCUCUGUGAUCCAAAUCUCCCAAAUGGGUUUUCCCAAACUCUUCCUCUUCUUCUUCUUCCUCUUGGUCUCAAACCCAUCUCGAUCUUAUGCUGCAGAGAAUGUGAGUGUGACUCUCUACUACGAGACACUCUGUCCUUAUUGUGCCGAUUUCAUAGUGAACCAUUUGGCCAAGAUCUUCGACAAUGGGCUCAUCUCCGUCGUCACCCUCAGAAUGGUCCCUUGGGGUAACGCUUGGCUCAAUUCCGAUGGCUCCUUCGCCUGCCAGGUCAGCUUUCUCCACCCCCAAUCGCCUCCCCCUUCUUUUCUUUUCAGCUACUCACUCAUCUUCUUCCAACUACCUCAGUGUCUGUUUUAUGACUUUUAUCUCUCUACGUACGACGUCGAUUUGAAUGUCCCCCGUCUUAUCUUUCCAUCUUUUUAAAUUACCUGCCCAUUUGUUAAUCUCAUUUAUAAUUUUACCUCUGUACUUGUAGAAUUUACAUUUACAUUGACAUGUUAUUGAAUUAAACGACAUAAUCACACAUUAGGAGAGAAAGGGUAUUUUUUGACAUUGACAUGUCUCAAGCCCUGAAGGCUUACAUGUGUGAAGUUUAGAAGUACAAGGUGAAUGAUGAUAUAACGAGAAUACACUAAAAAUUGGGGGAGUGUUUAUCCAAAUUUUUUAUUAAAGGUUAUGUGGAAACUCUGUGAAAUCAUUAAGGUUGUUUGAAUUUUACUAUACCUAUCAGUUUUGUAGCUCUAUGAUUAUUCUUUUAACCCUUUUUGUGUUGUACAGCAUGGAACAGAUGAAUGCUUGCUCAACACAAUUGAGGCCUGCACCAUCACCAUUUAUCCUAAUGUGGUAAAGCUUGUCAAUGCCUCUAGGAAAAGAUUUUACAUACUUUGUCUCAAACAUGUGCAUCCUUAAAACUUUGGUUUGGUUACUAACUAUGGUGGAUUAAUUCUGAUGCAGAAUCGGCAUUUUAGAUUCAUCCAAUGCGUUGAGCGGCUCACAUUGCAGAACAAGCACAACAAAUGGGCUGAUUGCUUUGAAAUGUCGAAGUUGGGGACUGUUCCUAUCGAUUGCUACAAUAGUGGAUAUGGCAAUCAGGUUAGUUCAUUUUCAGUCCCACUUUGUUCUUGAUGUUUUUGAACUAUUUCAUCAUUUGAGCCUUGACAAAAUUAAUCUUCAUGGAUUGGCAAUUUGGCAUUGAUGCAUAGAUUGAAACAAAAUAUGCAAAGGAAACUAUUCAGCUUAAUCCACCACAUAAAUUUGUGCCAUGGCUGGUUAUUAAUAAUAAACCACUUGCAGAGGUUAGUCUCUCAAUAAUAGUCUCUCAAUAAUCACAUUUUAGAUUGCUUAUUUCCUCAAUCUUUGUUCCCCUGAUGACCAAUUUUGUCCAUGUAGAACUAUGAUAAAUUCAUGACCUACAUCUGUCAAGCAUACAAAGGAAAAUCUCCAGAAGCUUGCAGAUCGAUUCGCUCCAAGACUGAAUCAAGUGGGAAUGAAAGAUCAAUUCCUCAAGUUUGCUUAGUAGAACAAGGAAGAAACUCUACAUCUUAAGCCUUAGGAGCAGAAAAUGUGGCAUAAAGUUUACUUUGACAUUCCAUAUGAUAAUUGAACCUAAUGUUGAUUGAUAUGACAUAGUUGAAGCUGACCUAUAAGGUUUUAUGGUCUGCUAUUGUGUUCUUAUCUUUUGUGUGUUUUCAAUCCAUGUUUUGUUACUGCUAAAUUAUUCUUGCCAAAAUCUGAAGGUUUUUCAUUGCCACCAUCAUGUACUUAUGAUUGAGAUGAUUCAAUUAUGGCAAAGUAAUAGUAGUCGGUAGGUGUGACAUUGAUCUAUAACCUUGCUGAUGCUGCUGCUCUCUAAGACGUAUAGAAACAUAAAGCAAUUAAGUUAAAGUCUUAUGGUCCAUAUAAACUGAUGCAAAAAGCAAUUAAGUUACAGUGUGUUUGGAUGUGAGUGAAUUCUCAGGUUUUUAAUCAAAACUAAGGAAUUCUCAAUUUCUUAGGACUGUUUUCCCCGUUUGGAUUCUUAUCCCGUGGAAUUAGCAAUUUCUACGGGAAAUAAUCGUGGAAUUUGGGAGGUUAAAUUCCCGACUUGAAUUCCUUACAAAAUAUGUGUCAUUUGUCAAUUCUCUUAGUUGAGGUUAGUCUAAAUACAAAUUCUUGUCAUUUUAAAACUCUACAUCAUGAAAUCCAAACAAUGAAAUUCUCAAUUAAUGAAAUUUAAAUUCAUGGAAUGUAAUUGUAAUUCCCAUGAUUUUGAAAUUUUUAUACAAACACAACGUUAAAGUCUUUCUCUUUUGUAAUGAUUUGAGGAUACACCUUUUCAUUGCCUCGGUGUGUGUCUGCAUUUCAGGGUUUCUCUUAAAAAAAACCGACUUCUUCUAGUAACCUAAAACUAAAUAUCAAUUAGUACUCUGAUCGAUUUAUAGAAAUAUCCGCAUAUCUAAUUAUUUGAAAAUUCAAAACAGUUAACUUAGAAUCGAGCGGUAUGUUUGGUAAUAUGUUUUUGACGCUACUUCCUGUCGGAAAUAAUUAUUGUCAGACUAUCGGUUCACUGAAUAUGUAGAAAUACAUACAUAAAUGAUCUCAAAACAAGGAUAAUAUUCAAACUUUGCAUGGGUAGUUUAUUUGGUUUAAAUGUGUUUUGAGAGUCUUGAUUAGGAGAGAAUAGUUUUCUGGUGUAUUCCUUACAAUUGAUUCUAAAGCUAAUUUUUUUAUUUUUUUCUUGAUUUAAGCAGGAGCGCAGAAACAAUACACCUACUUAGCUAUUUGCUUUAGAGUCAGGAAUUUUGAGUUCCAGAGUCAAUUAAUGUGGGUACUUAUCUCUGUAUUUUAUUUUAUGCAGUUCAAAGUAUCAUGUUUUCCUUUAUGAUGUAUAUUGAAUUUCCUUUUCAUGUUUUUAUUAUUUUGUAGAGAGUUAUAAUUCAGUGAGAGGAUUGCUUGGGGUUGAUGUAGUUUAGAAUCCAUGUGGUGUGAGCAGAUGAAAUAGUUCUGGACAUCAAAAUGUUAUUGAUUAUAUAAGUUGGUGGGGGGACAGAGCAGUGGAUCAUAAUAAGUUUUAUAGGGUAAAUCCAUUAAAUCAAGAUGAUUUUAGUACUAGAAAAGAUGGUAAUACAAAUGCAAAAGAAUAAACCUAAACAACAUAUAAGUUUAUAGUUUCAUUUUGAUUUACACAUUGGUAGUGUUUUUUUUUGUUUCACCAAACGCACUUACCUUUUACUUUAGUGUAAAUCUGGAGCCUAAUGUCAUAAUGUGGUACCAAUUCCUACAAGAUAGAAACUCUAUACAUCAUUGUAUGGUCUUUAGUUUUAUGAUAGAUAUGGAUGACAAGUAGAAAUUAUACCAGAAUACUUCUUUUUUACUAUUUAUUAUUGCAUCGUGUACCUUGAGUAAGCUGCCAGAAACUGAAAGUUGAACUUUUAAUGGUCCAUUAAGAAGUGCAAGUGUAAUAGGUAUAUUAUUUCCCUUAAAAAAAAGAAAAAAAAGAUAGGCAUAUUUCUGGCAACUCGAAAUCUGUUUUGAGUUGUUGUUACACAGUGCUACUGGACUUCUCUCAUGUUUCUUAGGGAUCAUAUAUGUAAAUUUUGCUCAUCUGAAAUCCAGCCUUUUAUGUGUACCAUAUUGCCGUACUGACUUGCUAAAUUGAAAUUUUGUGUUUUAUGUAUUCCAUGUUGCCAUAUUGAUUUCAGUUUACCACCAUUAGCAGUAAUGAGUUCAAAAAUUAUGCAUUUUAUGUUGCUUUGUUUUGAGUUCUGAUCUUAUUCAUAUUGAUGUAUACACUCAUCAUGUUUUUUUUUUAGCUAUUUGGUGUUUGUAGCAUAAGCUAAACUAUAUAUUCAUAUACUGCAUAUUAAAUAUCGUUGCACGCUUUGCAUUAUAGAUUGCUGAUCUGAGCAUAUACAAUACAUUUGUUUACGUAAAAGUUUAGAGAUUUUGCAUAUUGGAAUAUUGAACUAUAUCUUUCUUCCAAAAUGAAAGGAAAGCACCAAAACUGGACUAGCAAGUCAUCAAUGGAAAUCAUCAGCAAAGAAAACACCGAAGUGUCAUACACUUAUAAACAAAAUUGUAGCAAUAACUUUUUCAACAACCUCAUAACUAUGUACAAGCUUAUACAACUUUUAUAGCAUGUGUUAAUGGACAAAAUCAACUACUUUUUGCAAGCUGUCCACUAACAAUUGUAACCAGUUAGUCUUGAAAAGUCUGUUUCUUAAGCACUCUUUGCAGCAUCAUCUGUAUUUGUGGGUAUCUCAGUUGUCUGAAUUAAUUUAGCAGUUAUCUUAUGAUUCAUAUGAAAUAAAUUUUUUGUCUUUUGAAGUUUGGUUCUCAAAAGAAACCCAAAAUAAAACUUUCAUGUUAAAGCAUUCCUGCCGAAACCGGCAGCAAAGCGCGGGUGCAAUUUCUAGUGCAGUAUCCGAUUAAAAUAUUUUAUUAAAUAUCGUGACUGUGUCACAUAAAUCGACACAUAAGGAGGAUAAAUGGAUAAUGUUGAGAAAUAUCAAUGAUUUAGACCCUGAUCGCAACGUCACAUAGGUGAUGUAUUAUGCUUUCAGUUUCGUUGCACUUAAUAAUGACCAAGUGGACUAACCAGUCACACCACAAUGUGGUCUUUUAUCCUUGAUUUGAUAUGGUGAUGCUCGAAGAUGCCAAGAACUCCAUGGAUAAGAGCUAGAAAACAGGUGUCCACAGUAAACCUAGGUUCAUCUACCCCAAUGCAGACACGUGUAAGGCUACAGACUACAUUGCAGUUUCCCAUAUAGUGUUUGGCCUUCAGAUCAAGCCAGUGGAAUCAUUUCGAGUGAAAGCAGCAAAGCCAUCCAAUUAAGCACUUGCUUCAGUAUGCCAAUGAAGAAUGUGAGAGAUGACGCCAGAGAUAGCCAGAUCAGCGGCUUCUCUGAGUUCUCUAAACCACAAUGCUCUGGUAAACUGAUCAAUCCCAAUGUGUUCAAUUCUGGGUUUGAGGGGAAAAGCAUGUUUGACAGCUCUGAUAGUCAGAGCUUCUAUGAAAGGCUAAGCAAGUUGAAUGAGUCAAAUGGGUACAAUCUUGUGUAAGUUUCCUACUUCACUGCAAAGUUUUGAUCUUUUGGGCUUCAUGUUCUACUUUCCUUUUAUGCAUUAUGUUUUCCAUUUCUGUAAUGUGUUCAAAGCAAGGAAUUCUAUGAUGGGUUUCUGCUUUGUUUUGGGAAGCAGAAAGAGAACUAGGAAACGUUUAUCACAUGCAAUUCAAAAUUAAGUUUAACUGGAGUGCUUGAUGAGCCUCCUUUUGACUGGCAGAUUUGAUGUCAGACAUACCAAAUUGAAUUUGCAUCUGUUUUACAAGGAAGUUACUCUCAGGGGAGGCUUUAAUCAGGUUUAUUCCUAUCAUUUACUUGCUGAUCCUAUUUAUUAAGUGAAAAGAACUGUGUGACCAUGUCAUUUUAGUAUCUUAUAUCCUGAAAGCUUGUUACCCGAUUGUGUUGUUCUUGGCUUCAUGGAGUUUGAUAUCUUGAUGCAUUUCCAGGUGAACAAAGAUAAGAGAUGGGAUGAGGUUGCAUCCUCUUUGAAAUUGGAUGGGAGGAAACUCAAUUAUCAGGAUAUUCUUCUAAAGCUUUAUGCGCUCUUUCUGUUUCACUAUGAACAGAUUUACUUUUAUAGGGGACCCGAGAAAUCGGCUUCAAUGCCAGGUAUAGCAGCUAAUCCAAUAGUUAGCCAAGCCUUCAGGAUUCUACCAUUCAUAUGUUUUGCAAAAUCUACGCAAAGUGCGUGGUGUUUACUGCUUAGAAAUUUUUGGUUUCAAUUAGAGUUGAGUGUAUUUUAGACUGAUGAGGUUGAAAUUUGCAGAUAUCACUGUAGAUAGGGAGGAUAGUCCACGAAUGGAAAUGAAGUACACCAACCAAGCUUCUCGAAUGGUCCCAAGUGUUGGAGAAGGGCCUGGAGGGAAGAAGAUGCUCAAGGAGAACUGUUCUGAUAUUAAGGAUAGCCCACAAAUGGAAAUGAAGUGCACCAACCAUUCAUCUCAAAUUGUAACAACUGUUGAAAAUGGGCCUGGAGGUAAAAAGAUGCUCAAGGAGAGCUGUUCUCAAUCAACAUCCACAGGUGAUACAGUAUUGUCACCAUUUUCUUGUACUCUGUAGAUUAGCCAUCAUGUAGCAAAUGCACAUUGAGUAGUUAUAAUUCAACCUGGUUUCGCAUAGGCGAACAGUGCUAAUUGUUUCUCUUUAUCAUGAACAAAUAUUGAAGUGUGAAGUUAGGUGGUUUUAUAGCUUAUUGAACUUUCUUUUAACCCCUUGUAUUGAAAAUAUGAGUAGGUUUGGUGUCUGCAGAAAAACAAUCAGCACCUGAAACAGAACAAAAGCAGAUCCUCCAGCUGCACUCAGAGAAAGAAGAAAUAGGAACAAAAAGUUCUGCAUUGGCAGAAAACCAACCAGAAGUACCUGAAGUAGCAGAGGAGCAGACCACCCAGCUGCACUCGAAGAAAAAACAGAUGAGGAAAAGAGGUUCAGCAUCAGCAGAAAAAGAAUUGGCUGUACCCAAGAAAAAAUGUAUGAGAAAGCCAGGUGCUCGACAAGGGUUACGCAGUGGUUACCACAUCUUUAUCAAGACAGAAUGUGAUAGGUUAAAAGAAAUUAAAUGUAAUAAAGGCCAGAAUCUCCGACAUAUGGCCAAUGAUGCGUGGAAUCGGCUAUCUGAGGCUGAGAAACAGGUACAAUUCCCUCAAUAUUUAUUUAUUCCCCUGUUGUUAAGCAGCUAGCCCUAAUCAAUAUGUGACUCGACUUUUUUGUGACUAUUAAUCUAGAUGAGUGCUGGGUUUGAAACCAAACCUGUAGCACACAUAGUGAGAGUAUUGAGUAUUAGUAUUCAUGAAUCACGAUUUUCAUGGGGACAAUCAGUAACUUAUCAUCAAGGAGAGGACUAUGUUAAGUAGCAUGAGUAACAAAAACAUGCCAGGUUGAUUGUUUCUAAGUUUUCUACUGCUGUUUACUCUCGGCAUAGAUAUUAAAAUUGUCUCCUUCCUUGCAGCCCUGGAUUGAGCAAAGUAUCAAGGAAAAGGAGCAAAUAAUCAAGGAAAGGGAGCAAAGAAUCAAGGAAAAGGAAAGCUCUGCCAAUAAAGUGGUUGUUGAUGAUGAACAAACCCAUGCCAUGGAAUGUGCUGAUUUGGAGAACAAGCAGUCUUCACCGGAUGGUGACAACCAAGUAAUUUUGGAUCCAAGUGAUUCAGAUAAAUCUAUUGAGGUAGAUUAAUCAUUAGUUAACCCAAUAGUACAAACAGAGUACUGGGAUAACUGAUGUAGAUACAAUGCGGGUGACUAAUUUUAGAAAAUAUGUUAAGGUGCUUUUAUAUCCAUGGGAAGAUGGAUUCUUGUACAUAUCCUAUGGGACUAAGGAAAUUUUUUUGCAUAUGUUUUGCAGUAUAAUCUAGCUUUCUGUUUCAGUUUUUUCUUGUAUUAUAGAAAGAAUGUAGGGAUUAAUUUGGUUGCUCAUCGAUCCAUCCCUCUUGGUUUAUGAAAUCAGUUGUGUUUGUUAAAUGCAUCAGUUCCUGAUGAGAUAGCUGCUUCUCCCACUUAACACGGUAGGACAUGUUUGCCCCAGGUCCACUGCAGUUUGCUUCUGAAAAUGUGAUUAAAUCCCUAUUCAGAAUAACAGAAAACAAGGAAGCAUUAGAUAACCAGAAUUGUUACUGCGUGAACAAACAUUCAGACAUGAGAAGAGGAACUUACUCAGAACCAACACUCCAUGAUGGUAAAUUCCAACCUUCUGGGGUGAUUAUAUCUUCCAUAUAUGUCCCGGCAAACAACACUCUUGAGUAGUUCCUGUAUGAUCUUCCCAGAAAUAUUGGACCCGAACCAGAUACAUAACAAUGUUUGAACACAAAGCCAGUAGUUUCGUUCGCGCUUUCACGGCCCUGAGCUGUAAUGAAACCGGCACGGCCUAUUCUUGAUGUUGUUGAAUUUAUCUGGCACUUCUGCAAAGUGCAAACACAUAUGUAGCUAAAUGUAUCAUGGUUUCUGGUAAUGGAAGUGAAAUGAAUAGGAGAGAAAGCUGCAAGGGUUUUGUACCUCGUACAUUGACUGGCCAUUUCCCCAGAUGAAGUCUAUAGCACCUUCAACAUAGGAAUCAUAAAAAUAGUGACGACCUCUGGCAUCACUUAACGUGUCUUGCAAGCUAAUGAAACCACACUGAUAGAAACUUGCUUUGUCCCCGGCAAUGGCAGCCGCCGGUGCCCACGUAACAUUCCUCACUUCAUCAUCCAUUUCCAGAAGAGUAUUGUAUGUAUUCUGCUAGGAUAAAAAUUAUUAGCAAAAUGUAAAACUUAAUUACUUAAAGCUAAAGAAGGUGAGAGUAUAUAUUGUAUGUAACUCAAAGCAUCAUACUUAACCUUGAAUGUUACAUGACGUGCAAUGAAGUUAUCUGCCUGCAACUUAAACGUAGGGCUUUCAACAACAUUUCCAGCAUCUCCAUAUUCGAUUGUGGUUAGACCAUUCGGGUUUCCUUCAAGAAUAAUGUAUGGUUUCUCUCGAGGGAUUUCAACUUUCUCACUAAAUCACACAGUAAUUACGUAAUUAGGAUUCAAAAUCUGUCACUCAGCUGAGUCAGCUCAGAAAUGAAAUAUUUUUGUUACUUACAUGUAUGUACCAGAGCUAAUGAGGAUACGAGUCCACAACAAGUUAUUUGAUGGUAUGGAAUCUAUGGCUUGCUGCACUGAAGUAAAAUUUCCUAGACCACUUUUAUCGACUACAAUAGUACGAGACACGCAGUUUGGUAGACCUGAUUUCACUGCUGUACUACUAUAGCGGGCUUCCAAUGCACCUAUGAAAAGGAGGAGAGGCAAUAACUUUGAUAGAAGAGAUUGCAUACUGCAAAACUUCAAGAAAACUUGGCAGAAUGCAAAAUGGACAACAAUGAGAACCCAAUACUUGUUUUGACACAAGAAGAUGAUUGAUUAUAGUUCUCUGUAUUAUAUAGAAGACACAAUCAACUGUGCAUUUGGUCUUGUCUGUGUGCAAUUGUAUAACCUGAUCUGUGAUUGUGUUGUCCUCAAAGAGAAUUUUCAAUGGUCAGAACAAUAAUGACCUUUGUAUUUUCGAUUUAGAUUACUUGGCUAAUAGAGAUUAUCAAAUUCAAUUGUCCUUCAGAUUUUCACCAAAAUAAUUGAAUUAUUCCACCCUAAUUAUAUGAUUUCUUUUUCUGUGGUUUGACCAUGUCUUCUAUUUUUUUCAGAGAAAAAUAGCUAAAGAACAAAUUGAGGAUUGCACUUCAAAACCUACAAACGACAUGUCAUAUCUAAUGACAUUAUCGCUUUAUCUUCAGUGAUAAGUAAUCUGCACCUUAGCCUAGUCCGGAUAGAGCAGAGAAAACAUGAGCACAACCACCACCACCACCACCACCACAAACCUUCCUCAUCACGUCAAACCAAAACAAGCCUCACCAGAAUCAAAACCACCCACCUUCAAACUCUCCCAGAAAACAAUCUUACACAUCUUGAACUCAAAAUGCACCACUUCUCUACAAAACCUCAAGCAAGCACAUGGUGUUGUCCUAAGGUCAGGCCACUUCCAAGACCACUAUGUAGCAGGCACCAUACUAAAAUGCUAUGCAAGUUCAAACUUCAACAACUUUGGGUUUGCUUUGAAGGUGUUUGAUAAUGUGUGGAAGCCAAAUGUGUUUGUAUGGAACAUUAUGAUCAAAGGGUGUGUGGAGAACUAUGAGGCACUGAAAUCUAUUUCAUUUUAUUAUAAGAUGGUGGAUAUGAACUCCAGGCCUAAUAAGUUCACCUAUCCUAUGUUGUUCAAGGCCUGCAGAUUAGUUCAAGCAGUGGAGGAAGGUCUGCAGAUUCAUGCACACGUGGUGAAGCAACAACUUAGUGAAGAUGGGCACAUAAGAAGUGCCGGGAUUCAAAUGUAUGCGUCUUUCGGGCUUGUGGAGGAGGCAAGGAGGAUACUGCUAGAGGACGCGGCGUCUGAUGUUGUUUGUUGGAAUGCAAUGAUUGAUGGGUACAUAAAGUGUGGGGAUGUGGAAGCAGCUAAGGAGUUGUUUGAGCAUAUGCCAAGUAAGAAUGUUGGGUCUUGGAAUGCAAUGGUGAGUGGUUUCGCUAGGUGUGGGAGGUUGAAAGAUGCAAGGGGGCUGUUUGAUUCAAUGACCGAGAGAGAUGAGAUUUCGUGGAGUGCUAUGAUUGAUGGAUAUGUGCAGGGAGGGUACCACAAGGAGGCAUUGGAAGUUUUCAAUGAGAUGCAAAAGGAGAAGAUUGCUAGUCCUAGUAAGUUUGUAUUGUCGAGUGUGUUAGCUGCUUGUGCUAAUGUGGGAGCACUUGAUCAAGGAAAGUGGGUUCAUGGUUAUAUUAAGAAGAACUCAAUUCAGGUGGAUGCAGUGCUGGGGACUGCUUUAGUUGAUAUGUAUGCCAAAUGUGGGAGGCUUGACAUGGCAUGGGAAGUGUUUGAAAAUGUAAAACGGAAAGAGGUUUCGACAUGGAAUGCCAUGAUUGGUGGGCUUGCUAUGCACGGCCGAGCAGAUGAUGCAUUGGAUGUUUUCUUCAAGAUGCAAGGGAAGAACUUGGAACCAAAUGGGAUUACAUUUCUGAAUGCUCUAAGUGCCUGUGCUCAUGGGGAGUUUGUUGAUGAAGGUCUUACAAUUUUCAGUUCUAUGAAGGAAAUGUAUGGUAUGGAGGCUGAGGUAGAGCACUAUGGUUGCGUUGUUGAUAUGUUUGGAAGGGCAGGACUUUUGGAAGAGGCAGAGCAGGUUAUAAAUUCAAUGCCAAUUGAACCUAGUGCAGCUGUUUAUGGUGCCCUGUUGGGAGCUUGCAGGAUACAUGGAAAUGUUGAAAUGGGUGAGAGAGUGGGGAGGAUUUUGCUUGAAUUGGAACCACAAAAUGGUGGACGCUACGCAUUGUUAUCUAACAUCUAUGCAGAGGCAGGUAUGUGGGAUGAUGUUGCAGAGGUAAGAAAAUUGAUGAAGGAAAGGGGAGUGAAAACAAAUCCUGGAAUCAGCAUGGUUGAUAUUGGUGGCAAAGUGCAUGAAUUCAAAAUGGGAGAAGGGUCACACCCACAAAUGAAGGAGGUCUACUUGAUGCUUGAGAAGAUCAUAGAAAAGCUGGAGAUGGAGGGUUAUUCACCGAAUACCUCUGAAGUUUUGUUCGACAUUGCAGAGGAGGAGAAGGAAACAGCACUACGAUACCACAGUGAGAAGCUUGCAAUUGCUUUCGGAGUACUCAAAACGAAACCAGGAACAACCAUCCGUGUUGUGAAGAACUUGAGGAUUUGUGAGGACUGUCAUUCUGCCAUAAAGCUGUUUUCACAAUUAGACAACCGGGAUAUAAUAGUGAGGGACCGUAUGCGCUAUCAUCAUUUCAGAAAUGGAAGAUGUUCGUGCAAGGAUUUUUGGUAAGGUCUAGAAUUUGAUACACCAUAUUCUUGGAUGUUCAUACAUAUGUAUAAUUUAUAUACAGAUGUAAAUAUUUUAAAACACCCUUGCAACCUUCUUAGUUUACACUUCAAAUAUGGUGGGAUCAGUUAGUUAUAUAAACAUCAUCAUCAUCAAACUCAUGGAGACACUAGAAACAAGUUGGUUGUUCAUAACUUCAUAUCACAAAUGCAGAAAGUAACCAAAGAGUAAUGUGGAACUAGAGUUUAAACUGUUACAUACAGUCUACGGUGGACAAGCAUUUUUGUUGCUGUUGAGGAACUGGUGUCGGCCACCCUGGAAGCACAAAUGGGUAGAUACAAUAUGCGAAACCACUCAAUGAACACUAUCUCGGAUCUUUUGUACAGUCUCUAAGGUUCCACCACAAAGCUUGCACAAGACCACUUCGAAUUCAUUUCUCAACUGUAAACGAAUCCACACACAUCAGCUGCAAGCGCCCUCCGCACAACUAGCCAUUUUUCAUAGUUAUGAUACCUAAAGUUGGGAGAUAAGAUUCAGGCAAUUUAUAUUUGAACACUACUAGAAAGCCGAUGCCAUCUCUUUAAAAAUAUCCACCAUCUCUGUGCACCUCUGCAGUAAGCUGAUGAUACCGUCUCGAUCCAUGUCACACUUCCUAAAGCUCAAGUACUUUAAUUUGGGCAGCUUGCUGGAAAUCGCAAAUGUGUCGUGUUUACACAUCUGGGAAUUCAACACGCGCAAAUCAACAACACUCUUGCAGCGAAGAUGUGUGAGGAUUAGAAAACUAUUAAGUUUCUGGUGGCGGAAGUUGCGGGAGCUGCUUUCCAAUGACAAUGUCUCCAAGUUUGUACACUUGGUAAACAGUUCCCUAAGUGCGAGUUUGUACUGCAUUGUGAGCUUGUAGUCGCACCAAAGAGACAAGAACUUAAGUCCGGGAAUCCUGCAAAAGAUAGUAGCAUAGCAUAAAACACUUGUGGUUGAAAUCGAUACUAGAUUGGCAAAAUAGAAUAGAUGCAAUCCACAAAGAUUACAAGUUUGGUUCUGAGGAAACUUACACAUCUGAAACAGAUGUAAGAACUUGGGGUACGCAAUUUCGGGGUAGCCCAAGAGAAGUGGCAAGUCCGUUGCUGCGCUUGAGGACAACCUUUACAAUACCACUGAUAGAGAAACGACUGCUCUCAAUUGGAUAAACGUGCACGAACUUAUCAUAGAAAGAAUUGGGUUCCCGAGGUUUGGGUUCAUCUUCCUCAGAGGAAUCAUCGGAAUAGUCAUCCUUGUCAAUGGCACUAUGAUCAAUGUCGGGAAAAUCAAGAGACUGCCAGCAUGAAGGAUUGUGGCUUGCUCUGUGCCAUGACUUGCAGACGAAGGGGACAUCGUAGAGCAGUUCCUCCAUUCCAAGUCUUGCAAACACGUUUAGUAAACAGUCGAGGUUCAACUCGUCCCAUUGUCGCUGCUGCUGCUUGUCCAUCUGCAAAAGAGAAAUAAAAUGCAGAGAUAACACACCACACUCCUCAUCAGUCAUAUGACAUAUUAAGACUAAAUUCCAACUAUACACCAAACCAAAACCCAAAUCAUCCAACCCAUCAUAACCCAAUAAAAAUCGAAUCUUUCAUUCAAAUUUGCACAAACAAAACGAAACCCAACAAGAACAAAAGGGUACCUCGAGAGUGGCUGUUGAGACGAGAGAGGAGAGGAUGGAGCGGUUGGGCCCAGUCGACUAGAGCUCGAACCUAUAUUCAGUCGAGGAACUGUAACAGAUCUCAAUCGGAUAAUAUGGCAUCACCACAAUUUCUCAAGCUUGAAGCUAUAAAAGUAUAAAUGAAUCCAAAACAGACAACUACUGCUCCAUAUCCGAUUCCGAAAAAAAGAAAAGAAAAGGAAGCACUGAAACGUCACGGAGGGCUCCAUCUUCCUCUGUUGUGUCUAGUCGCACUAGUACAGUAAAAUGAAAACGGUUAAAGCGACGUCGCUUUGGUUUUAUAUGUAUCUAUCGAUGUGAUCAUGUUGUUGUUUGUUGAUCUGAAAAAUUAGUUCGAUUCAAGGAAUUUUGGUAAGGUCUUGAAUUUGAGACACCCUAAUUAGUCUUGGAUCUUAGUUUACACUUCACAUAUGGUGGGAUCAGUUGGUUAUAUAAACAUCAUCAUCAUCAUCAUCAUCAUCAAACUCAUGGAGACAUUAGAAACAAUUUGGUUGUUCAUAACUUCAUGGGAAAAUGCCUAUAUAUUAUUAAUUUUAGCCCAUAAUUACCCAUUUUAAUGACAAUUUUUUUCAUGAGUUCAUUUGAAUAUAAGAUAGCUUCUUUUGUGUUUAAAUAAACAAAUAUUUACUUAAGGAAAAUGUCUAUAUAUUACUAAUUUUAGCCCAUAAUUACCUAUUUUAAUGACAGUUUUUUUUCAUGAGUCCAUUUGAAUAUAAGAUAGCUUCUUUUGUGUCCAACUAAAAAAAUAUUUACUUAAAGUCUUAACAAACAAUAUUAUUGUAGGAUUAUUUUGUCCUUACUCCUUAAACAUGCAUAGAGAGAAAAGACUUGUUCGGAACCUCACCGAACUCCGGUCACCGGUUGUCAGAAUUACUAACCCUCAGUAAAUAUGUUAUUGACCCCUAACAAUAAAUUAUUGACCCCCAGUAAACAUGUUAUUGACUCCUAAUAAUAAAUAAUUGACCCUAAUCGUUUGCUAGAAUUACUAACCCCUAGUAAACAUGUUAUUGACCCCUAACAAUAAAUUAUUGACCCUCAGUAAACAUGUUAUAGACCACUAAUUAUACAUUUCUCUUAAACCUUAUGCCAAACAGCAAAAACCAACAAAACCCCCCUCACGAAAUUAACAAUAUGUCUCUCUUGGAUCCUUUCACAAUUUUCGGCUCAGAUUCGAGCAACUCUAGCACUGGAAGCAAACAUCAAACUCUCACAUUUUCAAAUGAUUAUUGACCCCAAUAAAUUUACUUAUUUACACUAAAAAGUAAAUAAGAAGAAUGAGAUGAAGAAUUUCAUAUUCAAAACGAUAGCAGAACACCUCAAAACCACACUCACUAAUAUUCUUGACAAAGUCAUAUUCGACAAAGCCAUCAGAGUUGGAGUCGGCGGCGAAUGUCAGGGCUCGGUGUUGUCGCACGGACUUUCAUUCUGGCAAGCUAACAUCGACGAGAGGAAUCUGACUUGGACUCGAUGACAACGGUGGUUGAAAUGCUGUUGUUAUGAUAUUAACGCCGGUGGGAGGAAUUUGGACUCGUUCGCGAAGACUGCUGCUAUUAUGAUAUUAACGCCAACGGAUGGAAUUUGACUUUGACUGAAAAUGUUGUUUACUAUGUAGCGAAUCUUUAUUGUUAUUAUUCUAUUGUUAAUGUUGAUUCCACUAAGAAACCUUGUAGGUUUGUUAAGCCUAUUCGUUGGCAUGCUCAUCCUCCUCAUACAAUUAAGCUCAAUUUUGACAAGUUUGUUCAAAAUCACUGCCUCUUAAAGAUUUGUCAUUAGAGAUGCGGAUGGACAACUUAUUCUAGCACCUACAAAAAAAUAUUGGUCCUAAUGAUGUACUUACUGCUGAAACUUAUGCGUUACGUGCGGGUUUAUUAGCAGGCUGGAUCUAUAGUUAUCAGAAAAUUUUGGUUGAAGGAGAUUCGUAAAUCCUUAUCAAUUCCAUUAAUGGUACAUGUCUUACCUUUUGGAAGAUUCAAGUGCGCUUGUCAAAGACAUACUCUUCUUUACCUCUCAAUUUGGUCAAGUUUUUUUUUCACACAUAUUCAUCGAGAAGCGAACUUUGUAGCAGAUGCUAGUACAAAGUUAGGACAUCAACUUGAAACUCAAGCCUGAAACAAAUCCCUUCCUAUUGCGCACCUAGUGAGGCAUUCUAUUUUGACUCUUUAGGUAUUGGUUGUAGUAGGGGUUUUGAGUCAUUAUACACUCCAUGCAAAUAGAAACAUCACUAUACACUCCUAUUCAGUCAUAUAUGACAUAUUAAGACUAAAAUCCAACUAUACACCAAACCAAAACCCAAAUCAUCCAACCCAUCAUAGCCCAAUAAAAAUCGAAUCUUUCAUUCAAAUUUACACAAACAAAACAAAACCCAACAAGAACAAAAGGUGGGCCCAGUCGACUAGAGCUCGAACCUAUAUUCAGUCGUGAAAUUGUAACAGAUCUCAAAUAAAGGCGACCUUCUAUUUUGGCUCUCUGGGUAUUGGUCGUAGAGAUUUUAUAUUUUGAGGUUGUUUUAUAGUAUAUAUUGUUGAAAAAAAACUAUAUAUAAUUAAAAAAUGAAAAGUGGAUAAUAAAUCGAACGUCACCCCAUUUUCCACCGCUAAAAAACACAAACAAAAAUUAAAAGAAUUUAUUCAAUAUCAAAGCAAAUUCCAGCUUCUGAAAAAGCCCUUAAACCCACAAACGAAUUGCACAAUUACCUGAAAUCAUUUCUCACUCACACAGCCAUUUGAAGAAAACACACAAGGCCAAUUUCGUCUACAACAACACAGAAAAACAUAACACACGUCCUCUCCCCGCCACUCACUAACAGAAACAACCAGUUUUGCCUCAAGCUCAAACUCCAUGGCCAUGAAGCUUCUACUCUCACCGCCCUCCUCUUCUCUCUCUCAACCCACCACCUUCUUCUCUUUACAUUCCAACUCAACCAGACCCAAACCCAUUUCAGUCCCGACCCUUCUCUUCCAAUGGACCCCAAAACGGUUCGUUUUCUCCAAGAGAAUGGUUGUCAAAGCUUGUGUGAAAGUAGAAGAGAAGAACGUUCAGGAAUCUUCUGGAAGUGAGUGGGGGAAGGUCUCUGCUGUGCUGUUUGAUAUGGAUGGAGUGCUCUGCAAUAGUGAAGAGCUUUCUAGAAGGGCCGCGGUGGAAGUUUUCGCCGAAAUGGGAGUUGAGACCACCGUGGAGGACUUUAUUCCGUUUGGAGGAACUGGUAACAUUUCUCUUAUAUUCAAUGGAAUUGUCGAUUUUACGAUCAAAUUGUUACUGCACCUCUAUUUACAUUGCAAAGUAAUUAAGUUUUUGGUAAAAAGAUUUGAACUUUAGUUGUACCAUUUGUAGAAGUUAACAUGAAACAAAUUAAAGAUUGGAUUUCUACUUGUUAUCUGAUUGUUUAGUUUCCGAUUUUCCUUCUCUAUAUUUUCAUGGUGACAGUGAGUCAGUAACACUGUAAUGUGAUGGUCUGAUGGACCAUUGAUGUGAUUUCCUUAGAGUAAAGUUAUGUUGUGGAAGUAUUUUCUUAUUUCACAGUGUUGCAUUGUUGUUGUAGGUGAAGCGAAUUUUUUAGGAGGUGUUGCUUCUGUUAAGGGGGUAAAAGGAUUCGAUACCGAGGCAGCAAAGAAGAGGUUCUUUGAAAUAUAUUUGGAAAAGGUUAUUGCUUUACCCAAGUAUUAUUUUUUGUUUAUAAGUUAUAUUAAUGUAAUGAGUUGAGACUAGACCUUGAUUGAAAGUAUAUAUUGCUAAUUAUCUGGCUUUUGUGUUUCUUGCAGUAUGCAAAACCAGAUUCUGGAAUAGGAUUCCCCGGUGCCCUUGAACUUGUUACUCAGGUAUCAAGGAAAUAUUUUGUGACUACCUAAAUCUUGCUACACUGCUGAUUGAUUUAGUUAUUCUUUAAUGUAUACAAGCUCUGAUGUGAAACAGUGUAAAAGCAAAGGCCUUAAAGUUGCUGUUGCUUCUAGUGCUGAUCUAAUCAAGGUUAAGGCAAAUCUAGCUGCUGCCAACUUGCCACUGUCAUUGUAAGCCGAUCGAGCCAUUGUGCUUCUAAAGUUGUGCAAUAUUUAUAUAAUAUUCAUUUCUGUAGGGUCAUUAAUUUCAACUCCGGCUAUCCCUGUAUCCUCUUUUAUCAGGUUUGAUGCUAUUGUGUCAGCAGAUGCUUUUGAGAAUCUGAAACCUUCUCCUGAUAUCUUCUUGGCUGCAUCAAAGAUUUUGGAUGUAAUCCCUAGUGAGGUACACGAGAAGAAUUUUAUAUUUUGCUUGAACAAAAGAUUUUUGAAUAAUGAGGUAGACGGAAUUUGUAAAUGUUACUACUCAGUACAGUUGCACAUUCACAGAAGAAAUAGAAGAUGAAGAAAAAGAGUUAAAUAGUUAAAUACUAUAUAGUUGUGACCAAAUUUUCUUAAUGAGUGGCAAAAUUUUCUCCAAAAGAUUGAAUGUAUAUGCUUUCAUCAUUGGCUAUAUAAUGGAGUUGUUCAUUCUUUUUAUUCUGUUGUUCACGUCUUUAAGAAGUUCUCUUGUCCUAAGUGCUCAUUUGGGAUUUGCAUAUGUUUUGGCAGUGUAUUGUAAUUGAGGAUGCACUAGCUGGAGUGCAGGCUGCCAAAUCUGCAAAAAUGAGGUAAAUUUGCAAAAAGGUCUUUGAUCUCUAAACGGCAGUGUUUUCUCUUUUAAUUUUUUUUUUAUCACCAACUGCAUUAGUUUUUAUGUUCCAGUGANNNNNNNNNNNNNNNNNNNNAGUGUUUUCUUCUUUUAAUUUUUUUUUUUCUUUAUCACCAACUGCAUUAGUUUUUUAUUGUUCCAGUGACAGCACUUUUUUUUUUUUUUUUAAGAGUUGCAAAUUAUGAUUCUGUAGUAACUGCUAAUGUUCUUCUGCAACUUGCAGAUGUAUAGCUGUGAAAACUACUUUUUCAGAAGAAGCUCUAAAGAGUGCUGGUCCAUCCAUCAUUCGAAAUCAUAUAGGAAAUAUUUCACUCGAUGAUAUUCUCAGUGGUGGCUCGGAUGGCUAUAGUAUGUAGUCCUGAGAAUAUGCGCAGUCAUUUGUAUCUUCAAAUAAUGUAGAAUGGUGAAGCUACAGUGCUACACUAAUUUCAUUUCUUUAUGAGUUUUAAGUAAGACCUUUUCUACGGGUCCUCUUUGUUGAAACUCUUGCCCGGUUUUUUGCUAUAUGCACACUUUGAUCUUAUCGAUCUGUAGUUUGAAUGAUAGUUCCAUUGAGAUGCAGGCACAAAAGCUUUAAUUUUCAUUAGUCCUUACCAACUUAUUACAGGCUAAUCUUUUCUCAUAUGUAUUCUGGAACAUGAGGUCUUAUGUUGAUAUACCACUGCAGAUGGGAAGAUUCAGGGACCUCAAUCUCUUAAUUCUUCAUCUCAAAUCGCAUCAGAAAAGCUCAUGGAAAGAGAUACUAAUUCUUUUGGUGCUGCCAAUGACGGCGUUUUCUCGUUUGGAGGGUAAGAAGAGUCUAGUUGCAAAAUAUCAGUCAUAUAGCUUAAUUUGAGUUUUUUAUUCAGUGUAUUAAAAGUUCAAGACACAUAAGGGCUCUAGCCAUAUUUUGGACAGCAUAUUGAUCAACUCUUCUGCUUCUCCCCCUCAAAAUCAUGCUUGUAAUACAAAGGUUAUGCCAUGUUGAUCCAAUUUGCUUUGACACACACAUGUGUACUAUGUUGCCUGCAUCUAGUGUGUUGGUAACAUGGAUCUAAGAGGUAUUAGUAAAUGCUCCAAAUGUAUUUAGCAUUUUGUGAGGGUGUAAUGUCCUCUAAGAUGUGGUUCUCUUUGUUUUGGUGUCUAACUUAAUUGCUAACACGCUCCAAGAAAAAAGCAAUUGCUUAUAAAGAAAUAGAAAAUUUAUACAUAAAUUACUUCAAUAUUUAGCUGUGAAAUCUAUUAUUAUAAGAAUAAUCAUCAUAUAAUUGCAUUUUCAAAUCAAAGAAAUACCCUAUUAAGUUGCCUCAGCUUGAGGCUGGAGAAUAAUUGAUGGACAGGUUUCAGGGUUGUUCGGCGAGAUAUAGUGAAAUAUGGAAGCUUGGGAAUUGCUUUGUCUUGCCUUGCCUUCACCAUAUCAAACUGGAAGGUACAACUAAAUAGAGUAGAUUGGUUGGAGAGAGAGUCUGUGUGUGUGUGUGUGUGUGUGUGUGUGUGUGUGUGUGUGUGUGUGUGUGUGUGUGUGUGUGUGUGUGUGUUGUGUGUGUGUGUGUGUGUGUGUGUGUGUUGAAUUUAAACAGUAAUUUACAAGUGAUCAUAAGCUUGCAAAAGCGCUCUCUGGAAUGUGAUGUAUAAUGGUCUACUCAUGGCCAGGCAAUGCAAUAUGCAUCACCAAAAGCUAUCUGGAAUGUGAUAUUUGGGGUCAACCAGCCAUCUAUUGCACAGAAAGAAGGUACUAAUGUCACAAACCUCUGGUUGGCAUAUUCUUUUCAGUUUAUUGUCUGCCUAAUCCUUCGUUAUCUUAUGUAAUAUGUGCAUAUAUCGUCAUCCAAUUUCUUUUAAUAUGUGACAUUACAUUAUUACAACAUAAUUCUUAUUAUCUGACUGAAGUAUCUCUAUUGGUUCAUAGUUCGAGACUGAAAACCACUAUUUCUUUUUGUUUCAUUCAAUUAUAGGUGAAUCAAAGAUGGAAAGAAUCCAACAAUUUGUGAACUAUAUAUCUGACCUGGAAUCCAGGUAAAUUGCUGACAUACUAAGUGUUGUACAUAAUUCCUCCAUAUCUCAUUGUUACUGUAUAAGAAAAGUAUGUCUAAUAUGCUUCAACGAUCAACCUUGUACUAUGCAAGAGGAGCUGCUCCUAUUGUUCCAGAAUUUCCACCAAAACUUGAUUGGUUGAAUACAGCUCCCAUCAAGUUAAGCAAGGUGAUUUCUUUUGAACCUGAACUUCUAUUUAGUGUAACCAAGGUUUAUUGUAUAGCUUUAAUUUUGAUAAAGCUUUUGGCAGGAUCUCAAAGGAAAAGUGGUUGUGCUGGACUUUUGGACCUAUUGUUGUAUAAACUGUAUGCAUGUACUGCCAGACCUAGAGUUUUUGGAAAGAAAAUACAAAGAUAUGCCGGUAAUCCUCUUUUCGUGUUUCUCUUCAUUUGAAGUCUCAGCCAUCUCAGUCUUAUUAUGUUCCAGGCUUCUGCUUAUAUCAGUUGCUGAUCAUACAUCUAACAAAGUUGUACGAGGCUAACUUAGUUUUUUUCCUUACAAAUUGAAGCUCCCAUCCUUUGAGACAGCUAUUACCCUUUCACACGUAGAUUUUCAAAAUGGUACAAACAUAUCUGAUCUAGAUUUCCAUCACCCUAAGACUAGUACUGUCUAUGUGGCACAAAGAACCAAGUGACAAGUUAAUAGUGAAAUGAGGACUUACAAAAGAACAAUUAAUGUGUAAAUGUGUAUCUUGAUAUAUGAAUACCAUACUUUUUUCAUGUUGUUGUGAAAGUUUGCCCCUUUCAAUAAUGUUUAUCUGGCUGAUCCAUGUAACAGCUGACCAAAUCGAUAACUUUAAUAUAUUUAUUAUUAUGUAGUUUGCUGUGGUGGGAGUUCAUUCGGCAAAGUUUGAUAAUGAGAAGGAUUUAGAAGCCAUUCGGAAUGCAGUAUUACGCUAUGACAUCACUCACCCAGUAAGCCUCAUGCUUUGUAUAAGCUGAUCUCUCAAUCUAUUCUGGGACUCUGGAUAUUCUAGUACUUUGAGUAGUUUGCUCUUUCACUUCUUUGGUAAUGUUUGUGCAUCUAUCACUGGUUGUUCUAUUACCAGAACUAUUUACCUGGAAACUGCUGCAUGAAAAGUAUGAUAAAUAUGUAACUGUCAAUCUUUUUGAUGAUUUUACAUGGUUUAUGAGCUUGAUAUUGCCGAAGUUGAGUUACAUGUUCUCAUGCAUAUAAUUAUGUUUCCUAUAAUUAAUUUGCAUCAUUGGACCGAGUUACUCAUUUAUGUUAAGAUUCUUACUUUCUGCAAAGUUUCCUGCUUUUAACCAUAAAUCAAGUGACAUUUCAGCAUAACCAUCUUAAAAUUGAGUUUAUUGCAUAUUGAAGUUUAUCCUACCAAUUAAACUUUUAUGCCUUUCAUGUUUUAGGUAGUCAAUGAUGGAGAUAUGUAUCUAUGGAGAGAGCUAGGUGUGAAUUCAUGGCCAACAUUUGCUGUUGUUGGGCCCAAUGGAAGACUUCUUGCUCAACUAUCAGGUGAAGGUCGCCGCAAGGUAUUAUAAAUUUAUAACUAAUUUCAUAAUUUCUUUGUGGUAGACUGGUAGUUGUAAGUUACUCAGUUUCACGAAUUUCUACAAUUCUAUGUAGCAAUUGGCCAAUCAAUAACCUUUUUAUUUUCAUAGGAUCUUGAUGAUUUGGUGGAGGCAGCUCUUCUGUACUAUGGCCGAAAGAAGAUAUUGGACAAUGCACCACUUCCUUUGAGUUUGGAGAAAGAUAAUGAUCCCCGUUUGUUUACAUCUCCCUUAAAGUUUCCUGGGAAGCUAGCAGUUGAUGUCGAGAAUGAUAGGCUCUUCAUUUCAGACAGUAAUCAUAACCGCAUAGUAGGCUCUCUCUCCCUCACUCAAACCCACACACCCCGUCUAUUUGGAAACACCCUGCACUUUGUGUCUCUGUUUGUGCGCAUACAUUUGUUGCAAAUUUGUGAUAGCAUAAGUGAAUGUGAACUGGAUUGUUAUUUAACCAUGCUGUUGUAUGUGGAGCUCAGGUUGUUACCGACCUAGAUGGAAAUUUUAUUGUCCAAAUUGGAAGUACAGGAGAGGAAGGUCUACGUGAUGGUUCUUUUGAUGAUGCCACCUUUAAUCGGCCUCAGGUAAGAAAAGAGUCUGUCUUACAAGCAUGUUAUACACACUCUGCUGAGUCUGCUGACACAGAUUUAUUUUAUGAAUCUGCGAGCUUUCUGAGGUUUACCAUCUUAUUUCAUAUAUUUAAUGUAUGCAUAUAACCUUUGGGCAUGUCUAAUCCUAGGGCCUGGCUUACAACACAAAGAAAAAUCUUCUCUAUGUAGCAGAUACUGAAAACCAUGCUUUGAGGUAUGUGGAGGCUACAGAAAUCCCUUUUCAUUUGAUCAUGCAACUGCCUGUGUUUCCUGCUAUUAGAGCAUAUAAGACAUGAAAUGAUGGAAUUAUCAACCCUUAAAUACUUAAAUAUAUAGCUAUCUGAAUUCUUCACAUAAAGAAAUAUUACUUCGAAAGAUUUUGUAACCUAUAUUUCAAGGUUUGUUUCCCAUGCUUUUUCUUCUGUGACUGAAAAAUAUAAUGAUUGAAGUGGUAUAGCCCAUCUGUUGACACUUAUAAAUGAAUUGUAAUAUUGUGAAUCAAGGGAAAUCAUAUUCAACAAGUUCCUGUCAUAAUAUAUCUCUAAAAUUGUAGGGAGAUUGACUUUGUAAACGAAACAGUGCGUACUCUAGCUGGAAAUGGAACCAAAGGCUCUGAUUACAGAGGGGGAGGAAAAGGAAGCACUCAGGUAAGACUGGAUAUACCUUGAUUUAGAGGAUGUAAACCUUUCUUAUUAGGAACAAUGAAGAACUUCUGGUGAUUUAUCUAAAAUGACAAAUUGAAUUACAAAAUUCUUGAACAACAUCUUCAUUUUAUUUCAGCUACUUAACUCUCCAUGGGAUGUCUGCUAUCAUCCAGUGAAUGAGAAAGUUUAUAUUGCAAUGGCCGGCCAACAUCAAAUUUGGCAACUUGAUAUAGUUGAUGGGGUUACUAGAGCUUUUAGUGGUGAUGGUUAUGAAAGAAAUCUGAAUGGAUCAAGGUAAUUGAUAAUUUGAAGUUGCUAAAAGGCAAUAUCAAUUUUUUCUGCUGUUAUAUAAUUCCAGGCUUGACUUGGUCGUUUUGUUCUUUCAUUGGAAUAGCGCUUCAAGCACAUCGUUUGCACAGCCUUCUGGAAUUUCAUUAUCUUCUGGUAACAUUACACCAUUACUUUCAAUCAUCAUUUUUAAGGUUUUUUUUUUUUCUUUUCUGUUUUUACUGUAAAUGGAGUUUCACAGGUUAUAACUAUUUUGGUUGUUUCAGAUAUGACGGAGCUGUAUAUUGCUGAUAGUGAGAGUAGUUCUAUCAGGGUUCUUGUUCUAAAAACAGGAGGAUCGAGAUUGCUAGCCGGUGGUGAUCCAGUUUAUUCAGACAACUUGUUUAAGGUGAUCUGAAUAACUUGCCUACUAUGGACAAUGCAGCAAUCAAAAGAAAAUUUAAAAGUAAACGUCCUUCUGUAUAUGAUGCUUUUCUAACAAUGCUUCUUUUCAAUUGUUUAGUUUGGGGACCAUGAUGGAAUAGGUUCUGAAGUACUUCUUCAACAUCCACUCGGUGUCUUGUGUACAAAAGACGGUCAAAUCUAUAUCGCGGAUAGCUAUAAUCACAAGGUAGCUCGAUAACUAUUCUAAAAUGUAGCAUGUACUUUCGCACGUUUCAAUUUAUUUUACUAUUAUGAUUGCUUUUAGAAGUAUUAACUUGGUCUUUCUAUUUCCAAACUUCAGAUAAAAAAGUUAGAUCCAGCUAGUAAAAGAGUCAGUACCUUAGCAGGGACAGGGAAAGCUGGUUUCAAGGAUGGAACAGCUCUUGAAGCUCAGGUUGGCUAAUCAGUUGUGAACUUGUGAUUCUUUUAUUUGAGCAAUUUAGUAUACUAAUGAUGCAGGACGUUUGUUCACUAAAAAUUGCACAACUUACAUUCAAGUAUCAGGCUGAUUAAAUAUACUUGUCUCGGAAGUAUAUGAUUCAACACAUCACUAUAUUCUUGAAUCAUUUUACUGCAGAAUAAUUAUCCUGUUUGUUGUAUUGCCCUAUCACACUAAAGAAAAAGAAUGAACAGGUCAACGUAUUGAUUGAUCCUCCAUAUUAUCUCUUUGCAGCUUUCAGAGCCAUCAGGAAUCAUUGAAGCGAAAAAUGGUGAUGCUUUUUUUCUUUUUCUUUUUCUUUUUUUUAUAACAUAGAUAUGCCUUGAAUUUUUAGAUUCAUCUGUCAGACUACAUUCUCUUCUCUCUUUCAUUCAUGGAAAACGUAAAGUGAGAUAUCAAUGUAAAUCUUGCAACAAGAAUUUGAACCAAGUCUAUUUCUUUGUAGGGAGACUCUUCAUAGCCGAUACAAACAACAGUCUAAUCAGAUAUAUUGACUUAAGCAACAAAGAACCUGCCCUUCUUACUUUGGAGCUAAAAGGGGUUCAACCUCCCACAGUAAAAUCGAAGUCUUUGAAACGCCUCAGAAGGCGCUCAUCAGCUGACACACAGACCGUUACAGUUGAUGGUGGUUCAUCCAAUGAGGGCAACCUCUCUAUUAAAAUAUCAUUACCUGAAGAGUAUCAUUUUUCAAAGGUCCCUUUCCCUCUUCUAAUUCAAACCUCACAAGCUUGUUGAUUUCAACUCAGUGAUACUGUUCUCUAGUUAUUUUUAUCAUCUUACUUUCAAUUUGGCUACUGUACUUUGCUCUUUUCAGCAUUUGUCAGUUGUCAUGUGUAAAUUUUAAAUGCAGGAAGCUCGCAGUAAGUUUAGUGUUGAAACUGAGCCUGAAACUGCGGUUCUUGUUGAUCCCUCGGAGGGAUAUCUUAGUCCAGAAGGAUCAGCAGUACUUCAUUUUAGGAGACCCUCUCCCUCAGCUUCUGUGGGGAGAAUUAAUUGCAAGGUAUUGCUUCUCUUUCCCUACAAACUAAUCAGCUCUGCCAAAACAGAAUUGAAUUCUUGUGGUCUUUCUUUGUACCACUACUGUUAACUCACAUGCUUUUGUUGUACCUCUACUGUUAAACCACAGGCUUUUGUGAGGCCAGCAUACUAGCCUAUCCCUUGAAAAUCUGAUGGAUGAAAAAGAUUAGCACAUGAAAAGCUCAACAUAUGUUAUAUUGUGAUGUUUAAUGAAGUUGGCUUGUCUUUGCAGGUGUACUAUUGCAAAGAAGAUGAGGUAUGUUUAUACCAAUCCUUAUUAUUCGAGGUACCAUUUCAUGAGGAAGUUCCAGAAUCCAACCCAGAAGAAAUCACACUUUCCUACCUUGUAAAGCCCAGAACUUCAACAAACAGCUUACAGCUACCAGCUGCACGCUGACACGAUUACACAAACAUUUUGUAUAGAUCUUGUACUCCUCCAUGAAAAUAGGAAUACCAAACUACAUAUAGCUGUUAGAUACAAAACACUUGAUCGAGUUACACUAAGAUGGAGAGAUGAGUAUGGAUCAUUAUGCUUCUUCAUGUGAUAAACGUGAUCAUUUCAUGUUAAUUACUUCAUUUUUCAGAAUUUGUACCAACUUUUAUAAUGAAAAUCCAGUGGAACAUUGACUUGUAUACAAGGGAAAAUUGAUAGAGUUAAACCAGGGAGACAGGACAUAUCCAACAGGUCUGGCAGGUCCAACAGUAUCUUAACAAAUGACAAUGCGUUACACAUGCUCAAUCUUAUUCAAGAUUAGACCUUGAAUAGUUUGUGUCAUUGUCAUAUUCAUACUGCUUCAUUCUGCAAAUUAAACUAUACAAGUUACCAACUACCAAGUGAUGACUCUUAUUCUCUGGUGCGUACAAGACCCUCCCUUUCCUCGUGUGUUUUAUCCUUGGGAUUUUUCGUCGUAUUAUUAUAGCAAUUGCCACAGUAAUGUUGGGUAAAUCGUCCCUCUCUGUAUAGUGUAUACACAUCUUUUUCAUUAUGUACUUGAUCCUUAGACAAAACAACAGUAUAUGCAUUGUGGGCGGUUGGCAGUUGUUGAUGUGUGUUAAACUCGAAUGAAUUGUGACUGUUGAGGAGAUCGUUUUCCUAAACAUUCUCAGAGGUUGUUAAGUGUUAUUAUUAGCUUAAGAAACACCAUCAUUAUGACUCUUGGCAAACUUAAGGUGGGAAUUUCUUGUCAAGUCAAGCAAUUUUGCAUCUAACUCUGGUUAGGGCAUAUAGUCGUUCUUUCAACAAAACAACUAUCCGUUCUUUGUGAACGAUUGAUAAACGUUGAUGUGUGUUGAAAACUCGAACUAUAAUUCAUCAUGGAACUUGAACAAAUGGUUUCGGAGUCAAAUUCUUUUAGCAUUUAUGUUGUUGUUAAUUGCCAUUGGUAGUUGAAGAUUAAGCACCAUCAUUAAGGUUCUUGGCAUAAGCAAAGUGUGGAUUGCUCACUAAGUCACACACACUCGUGCGCACUUGUCUCCGUUUGAUCAAAUGAUGAAAGUGCAAUCACUUAUAUUAAGCAUUUAAGCUAAAGAAACCACAUUAGUCCCCCAUUGGUACCUGCAAAUUAAAAUAAUUAGUACAUUAAUUGGAACCAAUCUUUGACAAACUCUCAAGACUUGAUCAAAUCAUAUGAAUGGAACAUGUUUCCUAAACUUGUUUAAUCAAACUAAUCAAACCCUACGCGCACAGAGAUUAUAAUAUACAAGAUUGACAGCCUAAAACGUGCUUCUUCCACCAAAUCCCCUUCCCAGCAUUACAUUUCCCCCAUUUGUAGUGCAAUGCACUAUGUAACUGGCUCUCUGUGCAUGAACACAAAUUCAUGUGCAGCUGAAAAUCUCAUGCACUGGUUUAUCGAAAAAAGAUCGAAGCUAGCGCGCGCAGUUCUAGUUUCUAAGAAUCAAAUAGAGGAUUAAGUAUUUAGUUUGCUUCCAUAAUUAACCUAAUAAUUCAGAAACAACAUCCUCCGUGACAUAUGAAACAAAUUAAGGGAUGGGUUUCUUGUAAACCAAGGAUUAAUGUGAAGAAAACUAAUAAUAGAGCAAGGAUAUGACAAGUAUAUAUGGAAGAAUAAGAAAUUGAGGAAAACCCAUGACGGGGAGCAAGGCCGCACCAGAACCAAUCAAGUUCCUUGUCUUAUGCAAUGCAGUCACCUCGCAGGUCUUUCAUUUCAUGUUUUCAAGUUUCAGUUCAGUUAUUUGGUUCCAAUCAUAUAAUUUAGAUUUAGUUAGUGGGGAAACUCUAAAUGGCAUGGAACCCAUCUAAUUGGACAAUAUUUGCAAAUUGCAACUAUUUCAGAAGAAAGGAUAAGCAAUAGCAUAGUCAAUCUGGGGUUAAACAAUAUUACACUUUUGAUUCAAUCACCAAUGUAAACUAAAUCUUUUGUCUGGGAAAAUUACCAAAAGUUCAAGUGCGUGAUCAAGUACUUAGGUUUCUGAAGGAUCAAGAGGGUCUAAGUGUCUCAUAUAAAACUCUUAAUUAGUAAUCUUGAGUGUGUAAAUAAUUGCUGCUAAUGUUAAAGAUUAUCCAACUCUGGUCCAGGUGUUUUGCACUGAAUCAUAUACAGCAAAUUUUAAUUGAAAUCUGAUACAGAAGACUGUCUCACACUAGGAGACAAUCUCUCUGGCAUGUAAUUAGUAGUCCAAUAUCUUUCUUUAAUUUUUUCCAAUUUGCAAAGUCAGGCCCCCCUUAUGGGUUUAGUUAUAUUAAUCUGGAUUUGAGAUAACAUAAUCAAUCAAAGUGCUUGCCUUUAGUGACAAGCUUGCACAUGCCAGCCACUUUCAAAGUUUGAAACUACACUAUGUAAGAGCUGAAUUGCUUGACAAGAUUAUGAGUCAUAUAUAUGAGGGGAGCAAUUGUAGCAACACCAAGAACAAAAGGGCAGCAAACAACAAAAGCUAAAGGAGCAUGUUCAUGUUGGGUUGUGCUAAUUUUGAUUAAGAAAUAUAAUAGUGGGGGGAUUAGGAAGAGAAAAAUGGGUGAGGCAGGGUGGAUCAUACAGGGCCACAUCCUACAUUGAUCAGAAAACAACAAAACAGAGGCCCAGAUGAUAGAAAGUGCUAUGAAAACAACCACAUGCCUCUCUUUAAUUUUCUAUUUGGUGCAUCACCCACUAAUCAUUGCCUAGCUAGAAAACAAAAAAUUCCAUUGGUCCCAUGCCAGAACCAAUUAGUGCAAGGCACCACAUUUGAAAUUUUCUUAUAACUUAUUUCCACAUCAUCAAUCACCAGAAUUUUGUCAAAUUAGAAAGAUGGUAAAAAGUGAAUUAUCGGAACCCUAGCUAGCAACUAGAAUUCAAAGUAAAUUUAACAUCCUUGGAUAGCAGUUAAGCAUAAUGUAACAAGAAAUAAAUGACAUUGCAAAGUAAAUUAUCGAUGUAAACACUUUACUUAUUUACUUAUUUAUAAAGUUCUUGACCACCUUACGCAUAGGCAUAAAAAGUAUCCUAAAAAUAUUGAAAGAAAUCACAUGUUGUUCAUCAAACGCAAAAGCAAGCUUCAGCUUUCAUCAUCAUCAAAGAAAAAAAACUUAAGCUUUCUUUUCCUAAUCCUCCUAGGCAGCUUUUCCAACUUCAUAGCAACAACUUUAUGCCUGUUUUUUAAGAUUAGUGAAGAUGAGACGGUAAACUAGUGAAGGCUCGAACAUUAUAAAAACUAUUCAGAAAGAAGUAACCUUAAUCUCUUUUAAUACGGGAUCCGGCUUCUCCAAUCUUACAUGGAUGUAUAAAUGGUGAAGCAGUAGUACUGAUCAUUCUUCAUUCCCAACCCAUGAAGAAACUAAUUUAUUGUGUAUACGUAUAACGACAAAGUUCAAAGUUUUCUAGCCAACUAUAUAGAAAAACGAAAAGUGAGAUCGCAGAUUUAUAAGAAAAUAUUAACAUGGAUACCGACCUUGCAAGACAAGAAAUCAAGAAUCACGAUUAGACAGGGGCAUGUUGUUUUUCCUCUUUCUCCGGUGCCAACUUGUUCAUCGCACUGUGGGUUAGGCUUCAAUCUCUUCACUUUAUAAAUGUGUCUGGUAAAAAUGUCUAAGCACAAUGUGGCACGUUUGUAAUGGUCUUACUAAUAAUAUGUCAGGAGAGACAUGGAAAUGUUUCACCUGCCAGAGUGUGACGUGCAACUCGAAACAUUCAUAUCACCAAACACUAGCUUCCAAUGUCUCUUUGAACUAUGAUUAGGUUUCACCAAAUGACUGUUUAGUAGCGGCUUUGGUUGACCUAAUUCAUCUUUCAUUUCUUCGACCAUCUUUCAUUCUAUGAUUUUAGUGUUUAGAGUCACACCCAUUGACGAAUUCCGCAUAGAUUUUAACUAAAAUUGCACGUUAUCGGAUUCAUCAACGUAGACACAUUUACUUACAUAAAAUGAAAAUGAGGUGAAUUAGAAUAUUAGGAUACCUAUCAAAUCAGUAUUCAAAACCGAGAUCCACAAGAGUAUCCUAACAAAAGCUAGACACACGAACUUGAAACCUCUUCAAAACUUGUUGGCCACAAGCUGGUAGGAGUUGUAACUCAAACUGUUAACAUGGGGUUUCAUAGUAUGCAGCUCGAUCAACUUUACCACGAUUAUAAAUCGUAUAACUAACUUGUUGAUUUAUAGAUUAACGCAUUGAAGAUUAAUAAUAAAUAUGAGUAUCAUUUUCAUUAUUAUUGAAUGAAUUCUUACUAAAGAAUGGUAAUAACUUGUUUACUACUUAUACCUUUAUUAAUUAAUAUGGUCCAUGGAGCUAUGACUUCAACAAAUUUAGAGCACUUUUGUUUGUUUGAAACUUGAAACUAUGUAUAGCAGUAUAUAUAACUCAGUGAAUUAGGAAACAAAGGCUUGGCUAAACAUGAAUGAUGAGUCCUAAUGCCACGUAUGAAAUUAUUCGAAAUAAGAAUCGAGGAAAGAAAUAACAAAUGACUUGGCCAAAAAUGAAAAUGCAAUAUGGAUGAUAGAAAACACAUUUCUUAUUUUCUGAAUUAGGAUGAAAAAUAAAAUAAAAAAGAACUUUCUUGAGGGAAAAAGGAGCGGCAAUAAAUGUGACUAAGGAAUCGACGCGUGGUUCCCGUGGAUUGCUUUUAUACUCUUCGCUCUCUUCCCAUUUUCUCUCAAGUCUCAACCUCCUCCUCCUCCUCCUCCUCUUCUCUUCUCUUCUCUCUUCUCUCUUCUCUCGUCUUUGCUCUCUUCUCUCUUCUCUCUUCUCUCCCUCUCAAACUCUCAACUGAAAAACCUCCAACAAUCUCAAACCUUCUUCACCACUUCUUGCUUUACUCAUUGAAGGUAUGAAUACAAUCUCAUAGAUAUACAUGUUUGUACUAUUAUAUGUUUUUCUUGUAUAUAUAUAUAUAUGCAUGUUCAUCUUGCUUUCAUCGAAAUAACGAUCAUUUCUAACAGUUGUAAUUUACAGGUUUCAGAGUACGUUGUUGUAUCUGUUGAAUUACACAAGCUAGUUCAUGGCGCCCUCGUUUGUCUCGAACCCCGACGCCAGUCUUGACUCGAGUCGCAAGAAACGUCGAAAGCUCAAGGAUGAUCAGAACCCUUCUGCAACUACUCAAUUGAGAUGGAGAUCCGAUAACGAGCAACGGAUCUAUUCAACUAAGCUGGUCGAGGCUCUCCAGAAGGUUCGCCAGGGACCAUCCUCAUCGCCGACGGCUGCCGUCUCCGGCGGGAAAACAGUGAAGGAAGCAGCUGACAGGGUUCUGGCCUUGGCGGCGAGAGGCACGACCCGGUGGAGCAGAGCGAUUCUGACGAGUCGACUCAGGAUGAGAAAGAGGCUUCAGAAGCGUAAGAAGGCGACGGUGAGCGGGAAUAGCCGGUGUAGGAGGGCGGAGGUGAGGAGGAUGAGGAUGCCGGCUGUGCAGAGGAAAGUUAAGAUUCUUAGCCGGUUGGUUCCCGGUUGCCGGAAGGCUCCGUUUCCGAACCUUCUAGAAGAAACAACCGAUUACAUAGCGGCGCUGCAGAUGCAGGUUCGAGCUAUGACGGUUCUGACGGAACUUCUUUCCGGUGCUCCUCCGGCGGCUAGUCGUCUCAACUCCGCGAGUUGACACUAUUGAAUAAUAGGCCAGCCACCCGGCUUAUUGUGCCAGGUGUUUUUUUUUUUUUGGUUUUUGGAGGGGGGGGCUUAUGUAAUUCCUAUAAAUAUUCUAUAUUUAUGAAAUUUUUAAUUCGUGUAUCUUAUUGUGUAUAGUAGGCUUUACUUUCUUCUGAGCUCCGCCAUCAUUUUCUUUUUCUUUAUUUUUGAUAGUUAGUUUAUUGGAUUGAUUGAAUAUGCCACCUAAUUGAUUCUCAAUCUUCAUUUAUCCAACCAGCAAAGUAUAUUUUGUGUAUGUUUAUAUUUUGUGUUUGAACUUUGAACUUUGAAGCUAGCCAGUUUGAACAAAGACCUACCAUACAGUUCUUCUACAACUACAAAAAUGCAUUUUUCUAAUCGACAUAACACGUCAUAAAUUAACGUAAAAAUAAUAUAUUAAAAUUUCAUCAUGAUAAAAUUCGAGGAGAGAAAAAUACCACAUGCGUGCAUGUUCACAAAGCACAAACUCCUUACCACACAAUUUAUUAGGUAUAUUUCUUAAUUUUUUCUUAUCGACCGGCAUUCGAAUGAGAUUUUACUAAAUUUGAAUGAUAAAUCUAACUAUUAUUUCAAGGGUCAAUUUUGUUGAAGUGGGUCAAAGGAUUGAUUAAGCUAACAAAUUUGUAAAAAGCAAAAAGCAAAACAUAACAUGAUUCACUCCAAUAUACUUAAUUAACACAAGUUAGUUAUCGAUAGUUGAUGUUUGUUGAUGAAAUAAACUAUCUUUGUUACGUUACUACGCACAAAUUGUAUGAUAAAAGUGGAGCGUCAUUAAUAUGUAAGUUCUAAAAUCGUCGUAUGUGAAGAUCGAAUGAAAAUUAAAUACUCUAAAUUCUUUCAUUUCAUUUUCAUUUUUGAUCCGAUAAAAAAAAACCUCAUAAUAUGAAUACCUCUUAUUCGACCUCAAAUCCUUACCUCAUGUGUUAAAAACACUUAGGACUAUUUUUUUUGUUUCAAUUUUGUUAACAGUAUUAGAAUAUAUGCAUGAUAUGCGACGUGGAUGACCGAAUCAAAAUAUUACAUAUUAGUUGCUCGGUUCACUUGCACCUUAGUGCAUAAAAGAAUUUUCGUGAUAAAGAAUAUAUUUAUCUUCAUUUCAUGAUGAACACAAAGAAGAGAUCGAGAUAUUUAGGUGUGUGGUGGCAAGUACGUCGAACAAAAUUAAAGUUUCCGUGUGAAACAACAACCAUAAUCCAAAGUGAUUAGUCACCUAAGCGUGAGAUAAAGACUGAUGAUGAUGAUUACGUUUCCAUUCUCUAGCCAGAAAACGUCUCUUCCUAUAGAGAUACUGUCAUAGCUUAAAUGGGGUGAUUGAUCCCCUUGAUCAGAAAAAUUGAGUGAUUCACAUGCAUCUAAUUCCAUUAGCCAGACCUUAAUCAUGUAAUUAGCCAAAUCAAUCAUUAAUUAUCAAAUAAACAUAGGCAGCCGGGGUACACUACUGUGAGCUAGGAGGCAGUGGCUUUGGAUAUUUAUGAGAUACGAGAUCGCGAAGAAGAAGGAGGUGGUCGGGAAAUUCUACAAAAACAAAAAAACGAAAACAUUUGGAAAUUUUAGGAAAGAGUUGCACAUCAUGUGGCUCAGCGACCCUACAAAAUUUCAAGUGCACGUACUCAGUGACCCUCUAAAACCCUCCCUUUUUCCCCAAAGGCUGUUUGCAUUUCCAUGUGCCCGGCCUCUAGACCCAAAAGAACACCAUCCCCUCACAUGGUGCCCUAUUUCCAGCAAAUGGGAUAUGCCAGAAAACCUAGCUAGCAUUUCAUAAAAACCGAUCGGUCACUGUAAUGCUAUAGCUUGUUUGGUUGUGAGAAUAAACUCGUACACUUAUAUCAAACAAAACCAAACCCUACGUACCAUCGUGUGUCGUUAGCUCUGGGAAGCUAGCUAGCCAAUCUGGCCACGGCAGUUACCUAGUUGUUACAUUAUAAACGGUGACGGAUAGACAGAUCGAUGCUCGAAUGCCCUAGUGGGAUUGUCGAUCAUCUCAUAUCCCUAUCUAUUAACUAUAACUAUCAAAAAGGGUUAUUCAUAAUUUGAUGGUCGAAUCGAUCGAGGACCACAAAUACACCAUUGCUUGGUGUUUUGUAGGCUUUAAUGUCCCAAGCCCUAAGAAUCAAUCGAUCUCCCAUUCUAUUUGUGUGCUAUGUUUUUUCUUUUUUUUUCUCUCUCUUUUCGUUUUGGUUUGUGCAUUUUCAAACACUCCAUACAUCACAUGCAACCAUGUGGACUCUUCAAUUCCUGAUGAACACAUCUGUUUCUUUGGUUUUUUUUCUAGCUUUAUUGUUGUUGUUGAAUUUAUGGCACACAUGAACUUUAUGUGUGUGCAUGGUGGCCUACAUUGUGUUAUAAUUAUUGUAGGGCUUGCUGGUUUGGACUUGCUUAAGCUCCAAAACAUGCCCUAAAAUGAUGAGGCAAUCUUUUGGCUUAUACUUUAGGGCAUUGCCAGGGUGAGAUUUUGAGUCUUGUGCCAUGGAUUUAGAGCUUGAUUUUGACUGGAUAGUACGAAUAGGAUCAGCAGUUGGUGCUUAAUUAGGGUCGAUUCUUCUAGGAUUCGGAUAAUCCAUUAUGAAGGUUGGAUAGGUAGUACCUAAAACUAAAAUGGCGGUUCAUUUAGUAUUAUUCUUACAAAUCUUUGUAAUAAAGGGUCGAAGUUUAGAACAUAAUUAAGAGUUUCAGUAACAGAUCGAUGUAUUUAGAGAUUUUAAAUACUUGUCAUGUUUUUUUCGGAUUGAUUGUUCUAAGAUUUGAAAAUUGCAAAAUUGUGGAUUCAAAGUAGGUUUCGACUUACCAACGAAGCUCAAAACAUGACAGAGCAUCAAUCAGUUUUAUACUUAUGAUUGGAGAUUAGUACUGUAAGAGUAAGGAGGGUUUUAAUAGCUUCUUGGUUAUUCUUGUUAGCGAGGGUUUAUGUAGAGGAAGAUCAACUGAGCUGCAGCUCGUACCUAGAGAAUGAUAUCAGAGCUUCCUAGCUUCUAACUCUGUAAUUAAUGUGUAUAUAUCGUACGGAUGUUUUCCUCCAAUAUAUAGCUAGUGUAAGAAUCCGAUUCCGAUGAAUGUGAGUGAAUAGUUAUGAAAAUGAGUUAUAUAUAUACGGAAAAUUCUAAUAUAUCAUAUGGUAUAACAUGUAUCAUAAAAUUUAUGGCUAUCAUUGAUUGAAUAAACAACUAAAUAACCAUGUAAUGACCAUUUACCUCUUCAAAAGCUCUCAUAUGUCAUACAAUUAGACACAUUUGCAAUAGGUAUGUCAUACCAUAUGGUAUGAUAAACAAACUCAUAUACAUACAGUAUACAACAACGUAAUCGUGACACACGAAUGAGUUAUAGGUAGUGAAUUCAUUUUUCACUUUCUCUUGAAAAUGCCUGGACCAAUAUAUUGAAUUAUUGACAAUAGUACCGAGUUUUAGGUCUUCUAAUUACUUUUCUUCACGUACAUUCACCCAUGAUUUGGACCAUUUUGAUCCAAUUCAUAUGCAUGUGAAUGAGUUGUUUGUGUCUCUCUAUGUUCAUGUAAGAAUGCUUGGACCAGUUUAUUGAUAGCCUUUCGACGUUUUAUACCUAAGAAGGAAUAAGUUCCUACUCACUAUAAGUACUAUGUACGUAAAUGAUAAAAAGCUUAACUCCAUGACAACCUCUACAUUGAUUGUGCUCGCUGGCUUGAUUUUGAUCGUGGAGGAAUAUACUUCUUUUUAAACUUUGUGUUGCAAAAAUAUUACGAGUUCAUUAGAUGUUCUGUUUUGUUCGAUUUGGUAAAAAUUACUCAGAUAUUCAUCGAAAGUCUAUCGUUGAUAUACAUUAUUGACUUAUCUCUAAGUGGGUGAGCUUAUUGUCGAGGCGAAUAAUCUAUCGACGCACAAGGACAUGGAAUAUUGCCCCUACCCAGCUACCCUUUGCUCGAAUUAUAUGAAGUUAUGAACAUCGUUGUACAAGAUAGAUAGCCAUCUGAGUUUGGAAUAGUCUUCAUGCACCAAUAAUGGUCCCCGGAAACUUUGGCUUUAGGGUUAAGAUUUAUGAGUUAGAGAGCGAUGCUACGGCACAAAAGCUUGGAAUUCACAUUGGCUUUUCCAUUGAAAUCGCAACACCUGUUCUAAGUUCCAACUGAUCAUGCAUGCAAUCUGUAGUUUUCUUGAGAGGUACCUGAUUCCGAAAGAUGACAAUUAGCGCGGCAUGCCACUCUUUGCUAGCUUCCAAACGACAUGUCAAGGUCGUAUUGGAGCAUCGGAGACCAAUACCAUCAGAGAUAAUUGUUAUUUCUGCAGCAUUAUUCUUAUUUCUACUCGAUGAUCUUAUAUAUGCUCUCUGCAUCAUAUCAUCAUGAAUUGCUCAUAUAAUUGAACACCAUCUACAACCCUAGAACAGAGUUAGCUAGCUUUGAUUAUAUAUGUGAACUAUGUGCUCACACAGUCACACCAUAUGAUGCAUCUUUUUCUUUUUUUCUGAUCAUAUAUGAUGGGUUAUGUUUGUGCUGUAUCUGACAAAGCUGAAGAACCAUAUCCCUAUAAUUGCAAGGGCUUUCACAUAUUUGUGAUAGCUCGCACAUGAGCUAGGGUUCCAAGUACGUCUAAGGUCAUGUCGCUUCAAAGUUCAGUAUAAGCUUUUCUUUCGUUUAAUAAUUUACACUCAUUUUCCCAAGAAUCGCAUGCAAUACAAUAGUACUUUGUUGUGUCACGUACAUGCGUGAGAUGACAAGAUGUCUUUCUUUCCUAAUGUACCUGUAUUUUAUGUAUAAUAAUUAUACAUUCCUUCUUAGUUAAAACGAAUCUUUUCUAAAACUGUACGCUUAAUGUUAAAUGUAAUGAGAAUCGUUGGAUUAGUAGUCGAUUGAACGAGAACUUCGUUUAGGUAAAGCCUUCAAUCAUCAUAAGAAUUGUUAUGGACUAAUUAACACCAUGGAAGAACGUACUCUAUCUAAGCCUGAACUAAUUGAGGGUUGCAAAAUUAGCAGUAAGCGACGAAAGAGAAGGGAUGGGAAGCACUUUUGAGUUGUCAAAGUCGAACAACCAUCCCCAAUAAAGGAGCUAGCCAACAACAAUGGUCUCACUUGGCAUCGGACCCAGAUCGACAAUACAGAUGGGUAUAACAUGACAAAACACAAAAAUGUGCGCAAAGCAACACAUUGGUGAACUUGUGGUUCUAUUCCAAGAGAUAAUUCGCAACUCGUGGCACAACCUAUGAGCACACACACGCUUAUUAUAAAUCUCUCUCUGACAAUCGACCAAAGUUUUUGUUGUGUUUUGUUGUACGUGGAUCCUCGUUGGCUAAAGAAAACGACCCCGACGUCCUUGCUGCUGCAGCAUACACAGUGCUCUCUGCUUCUUCACUACUUGUUUUUUUGCGACCAUUAUUGAUCGUUAUUAGUUGGUUUGAUCUUGGUUGGCUAAUCGUACAGGGUCUUAAUCCUAGAGGCUUAUAUUCUUAUUGUUGUUAUACUAUUGUGAUUAUGGUUAUGCUCGACGUACACUGUGGAUAGAUAUAUUAAAGACAAACCUCAUAACAAACCCUAAAACACAGCUUGAAGUGAGAAAAUGGACCGUUUUUAAAUUAAUGGAAGGUAAUAUGAAUAGUUAUGAACUCAUGCAAGGCUCUCGUUAAUAGACUGGCAAUAAUUGAGCAAGAAAUAAGUCGGGUGGAAAAUGGAAACUUCAAACCACAUAUCAGUAACUAAGCAUAAUGGCACAAAACUUCGAAGCCCAACAAGAUGAGCUUAACCCAUUCUCAUUUCAUCAAACCGGUCAAGCCCGAACUAUAUGCAUGCAUUUAGGUCGAUUAGAUACUACUCAUGAAGGUAGUUCCUCAUACAAUUCAGUCCUCUACCUCCAGCUACAUGUAUUUUCUGCACACGGCGUUUGUGAUUAUUCUACCUUCUGUUCUACAUAUCAUUGAAUUAGUAUGGUCAAUAUACUACAAAAGAGGGAAAUCUGAUCAAUUCGCUGCUCAGAAAACUUCUCAAAAUUGCUCUUCAUGCACCAAUGUUAAGUUGAAUUUUAAUUAUCAGGAGAAAAUAAUGUAUUAAGAUAGGAUAACAAGUUACGACAUAGCACAACUACUCGUAUAGUGAACCGUUUGAACCAUCUGUUCAUGUAUUUCAUCAAGGCUGUACCUAAAAUUUGGAGACCUGAGGCGAAUUCAGAAAAUGGUGCCUUUUAAUGGUAUAUAAGAAAAAAAAAUCGACAACGACAACUAUACUAUAUUGUGCCACAAGGCUAUCGUGUCACUUGGCUAUCUAAACACGGUACAUAAAAAAGAAAAAUAAUAAUGUUCUAACAUAAUAUUAUAUCAUGUAUUAACAUCUUUACCAAAUUCUUAUAAAUAUGAAGUGAUGUCUCUAUGUAAAUUUCACGAAAGGUGGACUUGCUCUCACCUCUAAAAAUUGUUCAACCCUCUCGACUAGCUUCGACCAUAUUCUUUUUAUAGUAAUAAUUAAUUAUUGCAUGUACAAUAAUUAUGGGAGAUGUGACACUUCUGUUUAGGAAGAAAAAAAAAGUUCACAAUACCAACAUGAAUUAUUAAAUUACCAAAAAAAAUGCAUGAACACACGCGGCAGGUGUUUAAACGGUGAGGAACUAUGAUGUUGUCUCAUGUGAUGGGCUUUGCUAACCGAAAAAAUGAAAAAUUUGUGCCUCCUAAAAUUUUGGGCCUGAGGCGGUUGCCUCUUGGGCCUCUCCUCAGGUCUGGCCCUGUAUUUUAUAUCUUGGAAAAGAAGACAGAACAAAAUCCCCAUAUUUCAAAGCUUUAAGGCACCAUUAUACAAAUGAAGAGAAAGCCUUGACCUUUAAAAUAAGACAAAAUAAAAGAAUAUGGAGUUCAAAUUAAGGCUUCUAUUGGUUAUUUAGCUUGGAACUGGAAAUAAAUUGAUCGUAGAAAGCUAAACCUUUCAAGAUCUAUCGCCGGGGAAGAAGAAGAUCUGAGAUUGGGGUGAUUGUGAAUGAUUGUAAGUGUUGUAAAAAUGUAUGGACGGAAUUCAUGUAACAUUAAAACAUAAAACAUUAUGGUAAUAUCUUGGAAAUAACAAAUUAAAAUAAAUUUUAAUUUAAAUCAUAAAAUUUCAACAAGUGUUAUUUAUAAGCAUUGGACUCUAUUUCUCUUAAACAUGUCUUUCGUUAAGCAAAUAGUGUCGCGACCCCUAGUACAUGUGAUUUUCUCCCGAGAAUCUCCAUCACUUGCCCUCACCAACACUGGCGGCCACCAGAGAAUCUCCACCGUCUGCAUCACAUAAAUUGGUGGGUUGAUUUAUUUUUUAGGUUAGUCGCAAAACUCGAUCAUGAGCAUAUAUUAUUACUCAUGAAACUUCUUUUUUUGUUUGGAUAAAAGAGCGAUUGAGCAUUGCUUAUUUACUUGAUCAUGAUAGAUGUAUGUUAAGUUGUUAACUAAGGGCCCCUGAAGGGAUGCACAAAAAACUUAUCGACUUCGAACUUCCUAGCUAAUAUCAAAUAAAUGAAAUUAUCCCAAACGGCUCUUGACUCUUCAGUCUUUGGACUGGAUUCAUAUAAUCAUCUAAAAUCAAUGUGGUUAAUAAUUCCUAGCAAAAUCAUCUGAACACCAUGUUAUUAAAUCCAACAAAUUCACCAAAUUUGCCUAGGGCUGUUUAUAUGUUGUAUGCAUGCGCCUUUCUCAGCAGUCUUGCCAGGUCUUUCCAUUCGAAUAGGAAAGAUAUCAUUCCACAAUGAUCCCUACCUAUUUCCUGUCAAAGUUGCGUCCGUACGAAGUUCAAGUUCAUGGUGUCAAAGUGAAGGCAACUGUGGUGGCCAAUAAUGUUAGCUUCCUUGAGCAAAAGCUCUCUGAAUUAAGUAGCAAGCGCGUUGUGGGAGUUGAUGUGAAGUUUCAAAGCAGAGUGGCCUCAUUGUUGCUGCUCUGCGUUGAGGGUCAUUGCUUGAUCAUCCCAAUUCGUGCACCUUUCUCUACUGUGUUUAACCCAAAAAAAGUUUCUGAUUCUGGACUCGGACGGCUUCUUGCUGACCAGAAUAUUUGUUUUGUGUACUCGAAAUUUAAGAGCGAAGAUGCUACCUCCUAUGCAGGAUUGCCGGAAAUGAUGAAGCAGACAGGUAUAGAAGUGGAUCAUCUGGCGGCUACCAUAUUGAAGAAACCGACUCUCCUCAGAAAAGGGCUCUAUGAGUUGGGACGUGAAGUUGGUAUUGACAUCAAAUCAGCUUAUUAUGUACAAUACAUAAAUUGGUCGGAUGUCAAAGUUUUCUCAGAGGAAGAGAUCAAGUAUGCAAUUCACGAUGUCUAUGCUACAUUCCUUAUUGGGAACAAACUUUUGGGGACGCUUGCAUCUUGAUUAGUAUUGGCGUCUAAAACAAUGUUGCAGUACUGUGUUUUGCAAUGAUAAAUUUUUCUGUUUCUCCAAUAAUGAGGGAGCCUUUUCCUCAAUCCUCAAAGUUAAAAAUGUUAUCAGUUUUAUUAUGUACUACUUUUACUUCUCUAGUACUGUCUGAACAGUGUGACUUCUUCUAAGAAAAUUUUUCAGUUAUAGAUUGGAAAAACGAAAAUAUAAAAGUUAAACGCACGAAACUUCAAAGCCCAAUUACAAUCAAAAUAAAUUAAACCCAUUCUCAAUUCAACAAAACCGUCAAAAGCCCAAGCUAAGGUUUGAUACCAAUCAUAGUAUCAUACCAUAUAUCUGUAUUUUCUGCACACGACGUUUGUGAUUGUUCUGUUCUUCAUGUCAUUGAAUUAGUAUGGUUAACAUACUACAAUAACUACAAUAACUAGUAAUCUAGAGGGGAAUCUGUUCGAUCAAUUCGCUUCCCAGAAACUUCUUAAUUCAAGCGUCUCUUGCACCAGUGUUAAGUUGAAUAUUAAUCAGGAAAUGUUUUAAUCAUUUGAUCUACUAAUCUUGCAUGUAUGUAAAGAAUAUUAGUGUAUUAAGGUACGAUAACAAGUUACAACAUGACACAACUACUCAUAUAGUGAAUCAAUUGAACCAAGUGUUUGUGUCUUCCAUAUCUUGAAAAAGAAGAGAUAAUAAAUCAACUAAACGAAGAUGACACCUUAACCUUUGUAAUAAAACAAGAUAAAAGUGUAUUGAGUUCAAAUCUUCUUUGAGUUUUUAGGCUUGGAAUUGGAAAGAAAGAGGAAAGAAAUCACUGAAAUCACUCGCACAUUGAGAGCCAAACCUUUCAAGAUUUCAUCGAUGUUACCAAAGAACAAGAAUCAAGGCAGCACAUUAAAACUAGUAUAUGUUUGAGAGGCAAGUAAACCAUGGUUUUGUUGAAAUAUAUCAAAGAAACUUGAAUUGAUGAACAACUGUCGUUGCCAAUGUCCACCUAGCUAGGUAUAGAUUCAUGGUAUAUCAAAUAUGCCGUUUAAUUCAAGAAAAUUAUAUAGUAUAUAUUUUCUAUAUUUGGCAGCUAUGAUACUGAAGAAACCGAGUCCGGAAAAGAAAGGGCUAUGUGAGUUGGGAGGUGAAAUUGGUAUUGAUAUCAAACAAGUGACUGGAACUUGUCCAGCUGACUGGAUGGCCGAUACCUUUUCAGAGGAGGAGAUCAAGUAUGAAAUUCAUGAUGUUUAUGCUUCAUAUCUUAUCGGGGACAAGCUAGUGGGGAUGCUUUGAUUUCAUGCAACUUUGAUUUACUUGCUAAUUGUUAGCAAAGCAGAUUUUUGAUUUGUACAACUCAUUUCGCAAUGAAACACAGAUCUUUUGAAAGAAUUACGAUGCCUAUAAUUUGGUUGGGAUUUUACUUUAGUUUGUGAAAAAACAGCACACGAAGGAUUAUGUAUAGUACUGCGCAUAUAUACACAUCAAUUUCAUUGUCUAGCUAGGGUUUAGGGUUUAGUGAUAUCAAUUUUUCUCUUUUGGCCCUAGAAGAACGAUACCAAGAAGUACGUCUCAUAUUCCUAUGCAAAUCUGAUUCUAUACAUACCUAUACGUACCAUAUAGAUUUGUUUCUUCAUUCUUCAUUUGAAUCAUUAUAUUUGAUUGAAAGUAUCGUCUCAACUACUUAUGUCUCUAGCUAUGUAUGUUCCGAGGGGCCGUAAUCCCGGCUACUUACAUUUGGAUGUUUCAAGUUUGGAUAGUUUCUCAGUUCGGUAUAUCUUUUCUUCACAAGAUCGAUCGAGUCGGAAAAUUAAGAAAAUUGUGCAGAAAGUAGGUUAGUUUUUUCUUCAAGUUAUAUCAACUGAAAAUUUCAAGUUCUAUCACUAAUGGUACGACUACGAAACAUGACAAGUUGAUCGAAUGAAUGAUGGGGAGAAGUUGGUCGGGAUGUUCAUAUUUUUCCCCAUGAACGCCUUACGACAAGUUGAAGUAUAUGACUCUAAAAUGGUUUGAUACAUUGAGAGAAGCCAUGCAUAGAAGCUCGAUCUCGACUCCAAUGGAAUGUAAUCAUGUUGUAUCUUAUCAACUCGAUCUAUUUUUGUUUCAAACCUUAAGCUGAUCAUUUUUAGAGUACAAUUUUUAGAACAUGUCCCAAUUCAUAAAGCACCAAAAAUUUGAAUAAUUUUUUUAUAUUUUCUUUUUAUUUUAUGAAUUAUAUAGUUUGAUGACUUUGAAGAAUCAUAUGGACGCCCCGUAAAUUUUACCAAGGUAGCUUAUUUUGGCACCAUAGGGGAAUGCGAGAAGUUGAUCAAUUAUGGAAUAAUCAAAUACAUUGUCACUGAUAUAGGACUUUCGACCUUCCAUGUACUCUGCAAUUACUAUGUACUACGUACUUGACUGAUGGAUUCAUAUAAUCAUCCAAAUUCAUGUGACCAACUCCCAAGUCUCAAAAAUGAAGCAAUAAAUUUACAUGACUAUAAAUGAACAUAUAUGUAUUCCUCGGUGUGUCUUUCUCACUUGUUGUCAUUUCAAGAUUACUUGGGAUACCAUUUUCAGUUUUUCACAAUGAUACCUUACCAUCUUCUGUCAAAAAUGCGUCCUUACGAAGUUGAAGUUCAUGGUGUCAAAGUAAAAGUAAGCGUCGUGGCGGAUAACGAUCGUUUGAUCAACGAGAAAAUAUCUGAAUUCAAGAAGCUCGAUAAGAAGAAUGUUGUGGGAGUUGAUGUUAAGACUACAUACAAUGCUUCCCUACUACUUUUUUGUGUUGAAGGUCAUUGCCUGAUCCUCGCUCGUAUAAAGGAUGCUCAUAAAUUUGAAGUUUGGAAGCUUCUUUCUGACCAGAAUACUUGUUUUGUGGGUUCAAAUUUUGAACACAUGAAACAUUGUUCUUACAGUGGUAAAGAAAUAUUUGAAAAGGUAGGUGGAAUAGGUGUUGAAUUGGAUCGUUUGGCUGCUAUGAUACUAAAGAAACCAAGUCUGAAAAAGAAAGGGGUGUAUGAGUUGGCAGGUGAAAUCGGUCUUCAUGUCAAGCCAGUGACCGGAACUUGUCCUAAAUGGGAUGCCAAAGUGUUUUCAGAGGAAGAGAUCAAGUAUGCAAUACAUGAUGUUUAUGCUUUCUAUCUUAUUGGGGAGAAGUUGUUGUUGGGGAUGCUUUAGUUUUAGGACUCCGAUCUUGUUUUUAUUUGUUCGCAAAGGCUAAAGGGACUCCAUAUGUACGCACUUCUUAUUUUGCAAUAAUAAUACAGAUCUAUCUUUUGAUAUUAAUUCUUUUGAUACGUUUUUCUUUAACAUCCAUUUACACUUGAAGAACAUACAAGUUCUGUAAUCUACAAAUAUCUCUUGUGUUGGAGAACAAGUUGUAGCUAAAUAUCAUAUACGAUCGUCCUGCAUGUCCCAAAAGUCCAAAACCAUGGAUGGACAUGCAUGCUUCAAAUCUCAAUCAAUACUUCAUUCUUACAUUCAUAGACUCAUGUAUAACAUACAAAAUAAUUACUAUUUAAUAUUUAUUGAUAACUAUAUUUGAUACGUCUUUGUGUUGGCAAGGUUGAUGAUCGAACGUACUCGAUCCAUGAGAAUGGAAUUGCCACAAUAAUAUUAGAGACUUUCUAAUAUGCUAGUGAUGAUUAGUAUUCAUACACUUGAUUUUGUUAUUCAUAUAACUUAUUUAUUUUUAGUAGUAUAAUUCACUUUAGUACUAAAAAUAUGGUGAUGUUAUUAACACACCUAUCUAUAGGGUGGUGUUAUUAACACACUUUAUCUAUGAAGAUAGCUAAUCAUGCAACAAAUUUAAGUGACAAGUUUGUUAAUAAAUUUGAAACAUGUGGAUAGAAAAAAAUAUGGGGUGUGUUAAUAACAAAAAGAGGUGUGUUUGGUAUUGUGGUUUAAAAACUCAAUUUUUAAAAAACUUAGUUUUAAAUAAGUAAACUUCAACCUGUUUUUUAAAAUCGUGGUUAUUUAAACUAAAAAGGGAAAUAGAUCUGAUAAGAGAACGUAGGACCCUAGAGAGAGCAGCCCUUUCGUCAAAACCCAAAGAGAGAACUCCUCUCAAACCCUAGCACAGCCGCGAUCUACUUUCUCCUCUCUCAAUCAUUAUCGUCAUCAUGUCCUCCAUUGACACAGUCACAGCGUCCUUCGCCGCUUCCUUGGCUUUGGCCGACGGCGAAAAAGCGCCAGAUUUGGGGAAGAUUGGAGGAGGUCCUGUGAGACAUUCAUCCCAGUCUUUUCUUCUUGCUAAGCCACUCACACGCCGUGUUAUGGAUCCAGAAGCUUUCAAGUCGCAUUUUGCCCGUGCUUGGGUGGUGCAGCGGAAUUUUCGAAUUCAGGAGAGGGGUGAUCUCUUCCUCGUCUCAUUUGAAUCUGAGAAGGAUCGAACAAAAGUUCUGAAGGGUGGCGCAUGGUGUUUUGACCGUGCACCGGUUUGUCUUGAGAUGUAUGAUGGGAUUACUCCUAUGACCGACGUUCCUAUGCGUCAUGUGAGGAUGUGGGUGAUCGUCUCUUUGAUCCCACCUUGGUACGAGGAGCCGGAUAACCUUCGUUUGAUUGGAAACCUUCUUGGAGGAUACUUGGAUUAUGAUCGUACCGAGUUUCGAAAGGGAGUGAUGAAGAUCUUAUUUACCCACGAAAUCCAUAAACCACUCCUUUUGGAAAGGUAGGUUCAUCUUGAUCCAGGGGUGGAGUUGAUGUUACAGUUUAAUUUUUUACAUCUUCUGGGUAGAUGCUCUGUUUGCAAUAUGAUCACACAUGCUGGAGAAAAGUGUGAUGGAACUCAUACUGGCUCGGGUACAUCCAGAAGCAUUAAUUUUGGUGCUCAACUAAAACCAGGUUAUGCAUUUUCGGCAAAGCCCACAACUGGUGUGGCUAUCAAUCCAGCGCCGGUGGUUUCCUCGACUCCGGUAGUGAAGAGAAAGCCGGCCUGUGGUACGUUGAUUGCAGCGUACUGAAACUUCAAGAAAUGAUGAAUUUGGUCUUCGGUGUAUGGGCUCUUCUUCAGGGUUUGGUAAUUCUACUCUUGAGAUUGAGGUUGCCUUUGAUUUAGAGACCUCUCCUAUUGUGUUAGAAGCUGCUGUUGGGAAGGAUGCAGUAUUGUCUACUACUCCCUCAAAGAAACGAGGAUGUAAUGGGGGUUGUUCUCCCUCCCUGAAGAAAAUCAAGACUAUUCUGGGCGGUAAACUUCUCAAACAUCAAGCUGAAUCUUUGGGUUUGGUCGACAUAGGUGGGGAUGAUGCGCCUCUUGUGACCCUGAAGAAGAAGAAGUUGGGUUGUCGUCUGGGUAGCAGAAAUAAGGUAUCUCGGUCUACCAAGAAGACAAAGGCUCCUCUGCGUAUUACUUACCCGAUUGCUGCCAAGGUGGGUGACAAGGCAAGCCCUAAUGCCAAGGGCAAGGGCAAGGGCAAGACUUAGAAUUCGAGUUGCCCUUAGCCCGAGUAUCAGAGGUAGAUUUACUACUUAUUUCCUAAGCUUAUUAGGUGUACACCAAUUAAGAUCUUACGCAGCUAAUAUUAAUUCUGUUUCAGGGAUUUAGGUAGCGAGUUUUAAUUCUUUUGCUUUGGGCUCUUUUGGAGCCUAUGUAUGUGUAAUCAGUAAAGGUAUCUGUCUUGGUGCUUGUAAGCCUCCGUUAACAUACUCUGUGGAUGACGGCAUUUUGAUGUACGUGUUUUUUGGCUAUUGAUUAAGCAAUAUAAGUUAUCCUUAAAAAAAUAAAAAAAAUAAAAAGUGUUAGAUAAGCAGUUUUAAGAUAAACCAAACAAAAAAUCUGUUCAAAAUAAUGAUUAUAAAUGAUUUUAAUUCCUAAAAUUCAAUAUUUACAGGCUGGUGACUUUUCGACUUUCAACUUCAAAAUCUCUCAACUUCUCUCUAAUAUGAUGGACUGAUCAUCGAUCCAAAUUCAUGUGAGUAACUCCCAACAAGUAACCUAGACACCAAGUAAAUUAAACCCAAUAAAUUACCAAAUUUAAUUGGCGUAUAUGGCUAUAAAAGAACGUCCUCCUCAGUCUGCCUUUCUCACCAAAAGAAAUACCAUCUCACAAUGAUACCUUACCAGUUUCUGUCAAAAAUGCGUCCUUAUGCAGUUGAAGUUCAUGGUGUCAAAGUAAAUGUAAGUGUCGUGGCGGAAGACGAUCGGUUGAUAGUAGAAAAACUACGUGAAUUAAGGACGUUGCUCAAACGGGGCGUUGUGGGAGUUGAUAUUAAGAUGAUGAGAGACAAGGUUCCUUCAGUGUUGCUUCUUUGUGUUGAAGGUCAUUGCCUGAUCAUCCCUAUGUUUUUUUGUUGGCUCAUUUCAAGUCGUCCAAAACAGGUUCCUGAAACUGAACUCAAACAGCUCCUUUCUGAUCGGACUAUUUGUUUUGUGGCUCCAAACUUGGGAAGGUUAAAAGAGAUGACUGAUCGUCUUUACAGUGCUUUUCCUUAUGAUGGAGCUUUGUCACUAAAUAUAGUGAAUACAGUUGUGGAACUGCCUCAGUUGGCGGCCAUGGUACUGAAGAAACCGAGUCUUCAAAAGAAAGGGCUGCAUGAGUUGUCAGGAGAAAUCGGAAUGGAUAUCAAGCCAGUGAGUGGAACUUGUUCAGAUCUGGGUGCCGAUAUUUUUUCAGAGGAAGAGAUCAAGUAUCUAGUUCAUGAUGUCUAUGCUUCAUAUCUUAUCGGUGACAAGCUAUUGGGAAUGCUUUAAUUUAAUCUAAGAACUUAGCACUUGCUUUGUUAGCAAGUCCCUUUUAACAUGUACACUGCUCACUUCCAAUAAAAACACAAUCUUUUGAUAAGAUUUUGAGAACAAAAUUUAUUAAAAACCAAUUUUAUGAGUUGUGUUGCAGAUAUAGUCCAUUGUUAAUUGCCGGGAACUGGCCGGCCGGAACCCAAGUGAAGAUGCAUUUAAAAGUUACUGCACCUAGUAAGAAACGAUUCAUCAUGUUUAUGCUUCCCUAAAUUAAUCUAUUGGACAUCCUUUUAUGUACUUACAAUAUUAGAGUUUUCCCAAAUUGAAACUUUUGAUUGAGGCUAAAAAUUAGUAAGAGGACUAAGACCAAGUUUUAGCAACAAGGCUAUGAUGCAAAUCAAAACCUGAUCUUAAUAAGGGUUUAAGGUUAGGUAUAGCAAAGUAGGAUUAGAUAUAUAUAGAUCUUUAGAAUUUAGAAACGUAAUUGCCAAAUAUUACCCAGGCUCAUUUCCUAAACAAAGAAAUCAUAAAGCAUGUGGUCAGAAUUCAACUAUCAAAAUAGGAAGAUCCAGUAAACCCUAAAUGCAGCAUCCGCCUAAAUUGGCAGCGGAAUUCAAGCUUCAAAACUGGGACCAAAACUCAUAUAAAUGAUUAAUCUCUCUCAUACGAAAUUCGAACAAAACAUUGAGAGACAAGCGGCUGAGACAAAGAUCAUGGCAUUUCCAAGCACAAAGUCCUUGGUCUUUUGUCUAGUCAUUCUUGUUAGCAUGGCGAUGCUAAGCCAUGGAUUUACAACCAAGCGAUUUGACGUUGUCAAUCCUGCAAUUGAUCCAUGCAAACUUCCUAAUGGAUUACCACGCCCGGGUUGUACUAACAAUGAUCCUGAGCAUCAUCCAGAGACACCGGCUUCACCCUACAAGCGUGGAUGCUCAUUCAUUCAUCGUUGCAUUGGUGGUCAUGAUCAAAAACAAUGAAGCAGAGACUUUGUGCUGGAAAGGAAGAGGCGACAUAGGGUAUUGCAUGUAGCUAGUAGUGCUUAUAUAUCAAUGUUAUUCAGAAAGCUACUGUUGGUACCCUACGUGAGAUUAUCGCAUCCUCCCAAUGACUGUUUCCAUAUUUUUUGUUUUUUGUACGACAGCAUAUAUAUGAACAUCUUUUUUAUGAAGUUGAAAUUCAUGUGACUUCGAUCGAUCAUGAUAUUGUUUUAUGUCAAUUACUUGAAAUUAUAUUUAAUUAUUCAGUUUUUUCGAUACAUUGUAUUAUAAGCGUGGAUAACGAGUCUCAAAUCUCUAAUACGAUGAUAUUCUUCAACUUUAAGAUCAUUUGUAGCAAUGCUAGCCAUUUUUAAGUUAAAUUUUAGUCAAAUUAGUUAAAAUGUUAUUUUGGCUAGCCACUUUAAAAAUGUGGCUGCAUCAAUCAUCAAUGCUCUCUAUUUUAGCUAGCAUUACAUCAACAUUAUUUUUCAAAUAAAGAUUAAAAAGUUUAAAUAUAUUUAUAUAUCACGUAAAAUAUCUUACAAGAAAUGUAUUAAAUUAUCAGCUAGCCUCAUCUGAGUCAUCUCGCUCUCUAUAUUUAGCUAGCGAAAUAGCUAAAAGUCAUAAUAGCUAAACUUUGGCUAGUCUGCUGGAGCUUUGAAAAUAUCAAAAAAAAAUUAAAUACGCUAUCUAAAAUAGCUAAAAAUAGAGUUUGCUAAAGUUACUCUAACCACUCAAAUGGAGAAAUGAGCUAAUAUGCGAUUUUGUCACAAUGGGCUUGACAACGAUCCAUUACACUUCUCUCUCUCUCUAUUAUUGAUAUAUUGGAUGCAGUUCAUGUUUUAGUUCAUUUUGUUAGAAAUGUAUCCCUUAAUUUCCAGAUUUUUGUGGUUGUUGAGCUAAUCUGUAAUGAAGGUGUUA